UUGCACUUGCUCGCCUUCGCCCUGUGUAUGGUCAUGGCGUUAUCAAUAUCAUCUUCUCCACUCGUACUGACACCAAACCUUAACCGUUCAGAUUCCCUUUCUCGACUGUCAUACCCUACACCCCGUCUCCGUGUCUCCGAUAAUCAGUGCUCAAUUAAGGCCAUCAGAUUAUCCCGGACCCACAUUGAUCCAACGGCUCACAAUGACCGACAACCUCUCUAUCUCCAUUUCAAGCUCCCUCUUCAACUGGCUUCUGCUUCCGUCGUACUCUUUCUCGGAUUCGGAGUUCGUAUUUACUCGGCCGGUCCCGCACAGCUCCCCCUCACUCCAAUUGUCACCCAACAAGACCAAUUGCUUAAUCAAGGCACAGACCAAGAAGAGGAUGAGAAAUUGAAACAAGAAUUUGAGAAUUGGAAAUCGAAAACGUACGCAUUGACCGUAUCUUUAAGGGUUGUUUCUCUUCAGAAUUCAGUGCCUCAAUCUUGGGUUAAGGAAUUUAUGCGAAGUCAAGGAAAGAGAUUGAAGUUUCAGAUGAAUUUGUGUGCUAGCAUUGAUGGGAUCGUUAAUAAUUUAUCUGUGCCCUUUAACAAAGUUAAGGCUAAGUCUGCUUCUUAUAUGGCUGCUGAUUUGGUUAGUGUUGGCGAUUCAUGGCUUAGUUUUGCCAUUAAAAAGAGAUUGAUUGAGCCAAUAGCUGGAGCUGAAGAUCAAGAUUGGUUCAAAUGCUUAAGUCACAAAUGGAAGGUAACAUCUUUGUCUUUGACCCGAUAAUUUUUAUUGUCUACAUUGAAAUUUGGUAAUGUAAUUUGUUCUCUAUUUGUGUUACCCUUUUUAGUCGUUUUAUUUAUUUGUUUAUUUGCUUUUAUUUGCACUAACGAAGGCUCAGGUAUAUCUAUGCAGGAAUGAUGCAGGAGAAAUUGACCCUCGAGGUAAAAUAUGGGCGGCACCAUACAGGUGGGGCACAAUGGUGAUAGCCUACAAGAAAAGUAAAUUUCGAAAGCAUAAUUUGGCUCCGAUUGAGGUAAUAAUUGUUUUUAAACUCAUUUAGUUUCAUAUGAAACAAAAUCAAGACUGCCUUUCUCUUCAAUAUUUUUGACAAUAAUAUCUUUAGAAGCAUCUCAUUGACGGGUAAUAAUGGUAUCCCUGAAAAAGUCUAUAAACUCAAUGAUAUUAUCUUCUACAAAUGGUUUAUUAAACUUCUUCGUUGUAGUCAAAUGUACACUAAGAACAAUGAGAAGCUAUGCUACUGUAGCAUGGAGUGAUGGCACUUAAUAAGUGAGUUGCUAGGAUGUGAACUAGAAAAAUUAAAUAUUGUCUCCUUGGGUGUGCUAGCUCGUAAGUCAGGGUUAAUAUUAGAAUUUAAGAUACUAUAACCAUGAGAAGCUAUUGACUGCCAAUUAAAAUAUCCAUUAAAAUCUCUAGGGAGUUAUGAAGGUGGGGGUAUCUUCCGAUUUCUAAGGCCACAUAGUAGACAUCAUCCAGGAUCCUAGGAAAGUGCGGUUAACCUCCUGCUCGAUGCAAUUAAUAAAUUUGGUCAAUGCCACUGAAACCUGCUAACUGACAUCACAAUGCGACAUGAGCACUUCAAAAUGGGAUAGACAGUCAUAAGCACUAAAUUUUCUUGCCUAAGAUUGGGCAAUUGGUCUAACUACUAACCCCUAUUGUAGGUUGAUCAUUAUUUUUCAAUUAUGUUCAGUUUGACCCAAAAUGUUACAGAAUCUUGAUCUGAAUAUUGUCACUGAACACCGUCAAUGUCGUUUAGCAUAGCCAACUAACUUGAGUUUGGUAAAACAAACACACAGUGUGUCUCAUGUCUCACAAUUCAAAUUAUCAUCUGUAAUGAUGGAGGAUUUUUCUAAUGUAUGAAGUAUGCUUUGAUGCGUGGGUUAGCUUGGAGAAGAUAUCUCAAAAUAAAGAAUAUGGGGAGCGAAUGGGAAGAAAACAGUUCAGUAGUUUAUUAUUCUGUAGUCAAGUUGUCUCAAAAAUGGUCAAAAUUUAAAUGAAUAAGGACAGCGGAUCUUCAUUCUUUUUUCCCUUUUUUAUACCAAGAUAUCUCUCAACCUUUAUAUAAUCCCCACUGGAUAUCUGCUUCUAACAAUUAAAAUAAAAAUUUCGCCCACACAAAUAAAUACUGACCAAGCUCUAACAAUAAAAAGUAACAUCCUUAGUCAGGUAACCUCUGUACAGUUCCUCAUCAUCUUAGUGUGAGACUAUCAGUACGUUCCAAAAACAUAAUAAAACUGGUUUGAUCCUGUUUAUUGAUGUUUAAAUGUUGUUCAUUGUGACAUGUAGAAAUGAUGAGGCGAAGUUUCUUUGGUCAUCAAUUGGUAAGAUCUUGUUUGAAGUUGUUUUCUGAAAUGAACUGCCAAAUGGUAGCCUUUUUUGGGCAUAUGAUGGCUCCUUUUUCCUCAUUUUAAACAUGUGCCUGCUUGGAACGGGAAGGAUUAGGCUGCAGAGUUGUUAUACAUUUUGACAUGCACUGGUCAUUACACAAUUUGUUCACACUGGAAAUUAGAAUGAGAAAUUUGUUGAUGCUGUUUUGAGAGAUCUGCAUUCUAUGCACAUUAACAUGAUUAAUAAAAAUGGAUUGUAGGACUGGAAAGAUCUGUGGCGGCCUGAGCUUGCAGGAAGAAUUUCAAUGGUUAAUUCUCCCCGAGAGGUUAUUGGUUCUGUUUUGAAGUAUAUGGGAGCAUCAUACAAUUCAAACAACAUUGAUUUGCAAGUUGCUGGUGGGAAGAUUUCUGUUCAGCAGAAUCUGGCAUUAUUGGCAAACCAGGUACUCUUAAAGAAAUGAUAUCUGGUCAUUGCAUGUUAUUGCCUGACAACUGAUUUUGUUUGUAAAGUCUGCUUCUUCAUACAUAUGAAAACAUAUGUUAGUGUUUUCCUCUCCUUUUCAUACAUAUGAAUGCAUUUGUUAGUGUUGUCUUUUCCUUUUCAUACAUAUUAAUACAUAUGUUGGUGUUCUCUCCUGAGAUGGAUGCAAUAAAGGCUUUUGCUCCUAAAUUUAGCUGAAGAAAUGGCAAGGGAUGUGAGAUUCUGUCUCAUUAAAUUAACAAAAACCCAAAACAAUGAAAACCCAGAAUAAUGUGGUGUGGGUAAAUUGGCGUCAUUUGGUUUGUUUCCUUAAAGUGAAUACGCGAGCAAUAGAGACUAACAAAAUGAAGUGGCAAGAAGAAGUCAGUGUCCUCUGAUGGAUGCAUUUUUAGGCAGAAAUAGGUUUGUAAUUGAUCAAAUUUGUCUGGCAUGCCAAUUUCAAAAAAAUUAAAUCAUGUGAUUAUUAGCUGUAAUUAAGGGGGAUAGUAGGUGCAAUCAGGUGGAUCCAGGAAAGUUCAACAAAGUUCUGGUGUGGCGUAGUGAAAUUGGUUUGUGCAACUCAAGAGUCUUUCAGGUGAAUGAUGAUGGGUUUUGAUUUGUAAAUGAUAUAAAUCUACUGUGAAUAGUAUUCUAGUAGAAUCAUCUAUAAGUUCUAGUUAUUGAAAUUGUCUACUUUGUCCAGUUUGAGUUAAGGGCAAAUGUAAUAUGAAAAAUAGUUGUCGCAUCUUUUAGGUUACCUAACAUUUGAUCAAUCCUAUUAUGAGGGCUUCAAGAUGUCUAACAAUAUGUAGAAUGCCCAUGCUCCUACCAUUGUUUAUCUUAUACAAUAAUUUGUUAUAGAUGCUAAUAUCUUUGUCGAUACUGGUAUCAAUAUUACAAUAUCUGCAUUUAUUGGGUAUUACAUAGGUUCGACUGUUUGACAGUACACACUAUCUGAAGGCAUUUGGAAUUGGAGAUGUAUGGGUUGCUGUUGGGUGGAGUAGUGAUGUUCUUCCUGCUGUCAAACGUAUGUCUAAUGUUGCAGUUGUUGUUCCCAAGUCUGGUGCUAGCUUAUGGGCCGAUCUUUGGGUACACCCAUGCCUGCCAUUCUACUUCGAUAUUCACAUUGUUAUCUCCUUCAUAUUAGUGAUCAGUAAACGCGAUAAUGUGACUAAUAAGUUCGUAUUCUCUUUAUAGGCAAUCCCUGCUGCCUCAAGACUUGAAACAAAACAAAUUGGAGGGCGGGUCAGAGGUCCAUCUCCAUUAAUCCAUCAAUGGAUAGAAUUCUGCUUGCAAACAGCGAGAGCAUUGCCUUUCAAGCAAGAGGUCAUCCCGGGCGCAUCUCCCUCUGCCCUUGAAACUACUCUGGUUAAGUUGCCUGAAGAACUGCUGAAGGGUAAACCAAGUCUGGAUACUAACUUAAUUGUUGGAGUACCCCCGGCUGAAAUUCUGGCCAGAUGUGAGUUUUUGGAGCCAUUAUCUGAAGCUACUUUGUCAGAUUAUGAGUGGCUGGUUGCUAAUCUGCAAAAUCCUGCUCCUGUCUUCAUGAAAAGGGUGCAACAUUACUUGUCAUCAUUAAUCCAAAGCUUUCUAGCAAAAGCUACAUUGAAAAGUUAAUGGCACUGCAUGCCAGUGAUUAUAAUGCUGACAGGGCAAUUGGGUCAGGGCAAUUAGGUCAGAGCAUAACUUCAUUAGGAAACGAGGCUUCAGCUACGUUAAAUAUUACAGGAUGUACUGAGAUGGCUCAAGUUCUUGAGGUUUUACGAGAAACGAAAGAUGAGUGUUUCUUUGAACAAAGUUGUUGCCAAUCUUGUAGAGUUCGAGAAGAAAGAUCACGGAGCGAGUGCCGCCGAUUUCUUCAUUAUUGUAGCCUCCAUAGUUGAAGUUUCCUCAUUUGAAGCUGUUUAUGCAUAAGCUUUUUCCCUGCUCAAGUACAGGAAACUGAAGAAUUAACCGGACAUGAUAUGCUGAAAGAGGGAAGUUUUCUUCCUUGAAUGUGGCCUUGUUAUUUGUAGUGAAGUAAUAGGAUGAUCACUGGCAAGAACCCUAUCAAGGUAGAUUUUAUGAUGUCAACAUAUUAUUAAGCAUUUGUCACUUUAGCACUAUCGCAAUGAUACAUUCAUAGCAUGAAAUUAAUUAUAUGAUCCUGAUUAGUCAAUUAAUCUUCAUGAGAUUUAACCUAGUUAAAACUAAGUACAAUCAUCGUUAACAAAUACUGAAAUUGGGUAAAUAUGAUCUCGACAUUGAAGAAUUUGAAAACACAACCCACAGAGGAAAUUACCUAUUGCAUGGGGAUGGAGAUGGUUACUGCAGGGAUAUAGAAUAUGCGCAAGGUGUUGUCCACUGCUCUUUGGGUUAUGGUGUGACUUGCGAUUUCAAGGUUGCCCUGAAACAAUGGAAAAGAUUAACAUAUCCUCCAAUGAAUGAAAACAGCUUGACUAAUUCUAAUUACCGAAUUGACUCCGGAUCAGGUGGCAAGAAUAACAGGUCAUUAACAUUGCACAGUCCGAGUACUUUUCCAGGAUAAGAUACAACGUGGUCUAAUGUUGAUAAUAAUAGUUUAUUAAAUGACAAAUCAUUGUUCUUGGGUGUUGGUUAUAUACGUCAUUGCUACUUCAAGUAGAAGAUGAAGGUUGUGCGGGUGAUCUCAGAAAUAAAAUAUAUUUCUGAAAGAUGAUGGUCCACUAUUGCAUGCCCCCCAGAUUUAAGCAUCUUUUGAUUGGGGCAUUUGGCAACGAUUCUGAAAAAUUCUAGAUUCAACCUCCUCCGCGACGGGAUUCGAACUGAGUUAUCAAUUAUCUUAGCAGUUCUAUUAACUAAAAUUAGUAAAUAUAAUACAAGAAAAAGAACAACAAAUACACGUAAAUUUUUUUUUAAAAAAAAUUAAUAAUCACACUCUAAAUUUACCACUCAACUCUAAAUAAUAACCAUACUCUGAAAGAAUUUACAACUUUUGACGGGAGUAGCUAUGACGAAAAUCCUUUUCUCAGUGGAUGGCCAUUGCCCAACAGUUGCAAUGAAAAUGGACCACCUGCAACUGUGCCUGAAGAUUCAACUAGGUCUGAAAAAGAUGAUAAUUUAAUUGAUAUGGACAGUAAUUGUGAUGUCGGAAAGCAUUAGUAUUCUAUAUGUGAACCAUUAUUGGCGACUUCGAUGGUUUUAUCUUGUUAAAAUGUGGAUGACUUCUAGUUACUAUUUUAUUAUAAACAAUCUUAUUCAAUUAACAUACAGUUUAAAACCAUUAUGUAAAUCAAUCUAUUAAUUUUCAUGAUAUUUAACUGAGUUAAAACUAAGUGUACUCAAUAAAUCUCUUUUCCUUUAAAAAACUGCUACGCUUUGAUUUUAGUGCUUACUAUUAAUUGAACUCUGAUACAGGGAAUUUGAAAUCAAACUCGUAACUACAGAUUAUCUAAUUGCGAGUUGCUGUCCAUAGCCGCUGAUCUGUAGUGAUUAUCUAAUUGACUGAGGUGACAUCAAUUUUUUUUUGUAAAUUUUCAAUAGCACAAUAUGGAAUUCAAUAAUUAAAUUCUCCUGUUUAAUUUGUUUCAAGUUAAAUUAUUCAUUACUUAAACUCUGUUUUAAGUCUUUACUUUUAUGUGUUAAUGCAGAAUUGGAUUCUUGAGCACGUUGGACAUGACUAACUAGGCUUGGCAAAAUCCGGGUCCGGUCCAGGUUUUGGUGUUGCCCGGGACCGGACCGGAUGAGAGAAAUGCAAGCCCGGACCCGGGUCAAAACCCGAUUUUUCCGAGUGCGGUCUGGGCUUGAGCCCGGCACCUUCUGGGUCUGGGUUUUGAUCCGGGCUUUUUAAACCCGCAUGCGAUAAAUUCAAUUUUUUUCUUCAAUUUUUUUUUUCAUUUCUCUAACAAUGCAAAUUUUAAAAAAGAAAAUAAUCAAAUAAACUCAUUCAAUCUCAAACUUUAAAAAAGAAAAUAGUCAAAUACAAAUAUAUAACACAUUAACAAUGCAAAAUUUGCACAAAUGAUAAAUAAAAAUUAUUUCAAUCUACUUUCUAAUACCUAAAUUCAUCCAAUUUCUAACUUAAACUCAUUCAAUCGAUAUAUAAAAUAAAUAAAUUAAAUUCAACAACACAAUAAUUAGGGAUGGCAAUGGGGAGGGGAGGGGAGGGGACCAAGGGGAGGGGACCAAUCUCCCCAUACCCAUCCCCGAUAUUUUGUGUAUGUCCCCGUCUCCUCCCCGUCCCCGUCAGAAUUGCUUGAGAGAAUCUCCAUCCCCUCCCCGAAUAAUAACAGGGGAUCCCCGAGGGUCCCCGGUCCCCGAAUAAUUAAUAGUCUAAUAUAUUUUUUUUAUUUUCGAUUUUAAAUUAAUCAUAUUAAAAUAAAAAAUUCAGAUAAAAAUAAAGUUUAAAAUAUAUCUUACAUUAAUAUUGAUCCAUUACAAAAUCACAUUCAAAAUAUAAAUUAUUAAAAUAAUUAUCUUUAUCAAUGUCUCAAUCUUCAUAAUCCUACAAUAAAAAGAAAAAAAAUUAUUUUUUAUAUCAGCAAUAAAAUAAAUGAAAUAAAUGUAGAUACUUAAUUAAUAUUUUUAAUAAAACUAUUUACCUCCUGGUCGUCCUGUUCUUCCUCGAGAAAUGUGGCAAAUUGAGAGAUAGCCUCAGAUUUCAAACCUAAAACAAUGAAAAUGAUAUUAGUAACGUAACUUAUAAGUGCAAAUAUUAAUAACUGUAUAAUAUAAUUACAAUGUAAAAUAAACUCAUACUGCUAUUGUAAGCUCGUAACCAACUUUAACAGCACAUUAAGGCCUCCAAUGUGCUUGGAUGAAGUUUGUUACGGUGUGGGCUCACAACUCUACCACCGGUGCUAAAAGCUGAUUCAGAAGCAACUAUUGUAAUUGGAAUUGCCAAAAUAUCUCUAGCAAUUCGAGCUAAUGUAGGAUACCUAUUAGCAUUUGUCUUCCACCAACUCAAAAUAUUAAAAUCUUCCAUCCGGGGUAUAACUUUUUCAUCCAAAUAUGAAUCUAAUUCAUCUGCAACAACUGCACAAUCUCCAUUGUUUACAUAAUCAUCAAAACUUGUCAUCCAUUUGGUUGCUUUCUUAUAAGAAUCCCCUGUAGAUCUAAUAGAAGAACUACUACCAGUAUAAUCAAAGCAAUAAACAGUUGGUGAAAACUUCAAUUGAUACUCUUUCACUAAUUCCCGGCAAAGGGUGACCACUUUCCCAACAUACAACUCUUUAACACCACCAUAAACUAUAGAAAAGUAAUAUUCAAUGAACUUCUUUUUAUACCUUGGAUCAAAGAUACAUGCCACACCCAAAAUUCCACUCAUAUCUUGCCAAUAUUUAUAAUUUUGUUAUUUAUUUAUUAGUAAUUUUAAAAAUAAAAAUAAAAUUAAAAAUUAAAAUGGGGAAAUGGGUAGGGGAUGGGGAUUCCACCUCAUCCCCGUCCCCUCCCCGAAUAAAAAAUUGGGUAAAAAAUUUUCCCCGUCCCCUCCCCGAAUAAAAAAUUGGGUAUAAAAUUAUCCCCGUACCCUCCCCGAAUGGGGAAAAUCCCCAAGGGUACCCGUCCCCGUGGGGAUUUUUGCCAUCCCUAACAAUAAUCACACAAUAAAUUUAAAUAACAUCCAACAUAUCAUAAAUUCAUAAUUAUAUAUUUAUAUAUAAUAUAUUAUUUUUUUAAAUUUAUUAAAAAACCGGGUCCGGUCCGGGUUCCGGCUUUUUUGUGUUGAACCCGGACCCGGGCCCGGAAAUGUCCAGAUUUGAGAAUUUCAAACCCGGGUCCGGAUUUUAUAUGCAUGCGGUCCGGGUUUUGCCCGGACCGGUUUGGCCGAGUCCAGGCCUGGUCCGGUCCGGGCGGGCUUUUUUGACACCCCUACAACUAACAAUGAAAUUGAUAGUAAACAAACAUUACAACGCGUGGACUCCGGUAGCUGCCCUACAAAUCCAACAAUGAAAUUGGGUUCUCGGGACCCUCCAAUGAAUUUCUAGCCCCGUUGACUCCACCGACUAAAGUUCUGUAAAAUAAAAAAAAAAGUACGAUGAAUUCCACCAAAUGCAAAACGCGUGGAAUUUAAUUUUUGGCCGUGUGGACCAAAAUUUAAUUUAACGAAAAAGGAAAAAAAUGGUAAAGAUUUUUAGAAUGUGUGGAAAGUGAUCCAUAUUUUACCGAAACAACUUGUUUCGAACAUCAAUAUGAUUGAUAUUUUUUUUGAAUACUAUCAACUUUCAUAUCUUUCUAUCCCCAGAACAUACUCACAUUCAAGUCUAUCUGCGAAUUUGAAAAAGAAAAUCAAAUCAAAUCAACACCAAAGCAAUGAAAAGUAAAGCUUUUGAAUUUUAACUUCAGCUAGCAAACGUAUUCAGCGUUUUCAAAUUCUUCCCAUUGCAUAUCUUCUUCCUCCAUCAAUGCAAUAUUAAGUAUUUUUUCUUCAUUAUAUUAUUUUCUGCGCAUUUCUUCUUCCUCCAUCAAUGCAAUAUUUGAACAAUUAAGAAAGAGUUUAAGAACAUAAAAAAUCUCCUAGGUUUAUACGGUACAACAAAUUUAAAUUCUCAAUUAUAAUAGAUAAUAAUUAAACUAAUAAUUUUUUAUUUUCUUAUUUUGGUCAUGUCACCUAAGAAUAAUAUUGUCAUUAGAAAAAAUCUAAUAAGUGGGAUGGUUUUAUACAAAAUCAACUACAUACAGUAAUAAGUGAGUACGCGCCCCUUCAAUGAAUUUCUAGCCCCAUUGACUCCACCGACUACGGCUAAAGGUCUGUAAAACAAGUAAAUAUAAUUUCUACAAAUGCAAAACUUGUCGAAUUUAACUUUUGACCAUGAAAAGAACAAAACAAAAAAGAGGUAAAAUUUCCAAAACGUGUGAAAGGUGACUCAUGAUUUAUUAAAACGACUUGUCUCAAAUAUCAAGAAGAUUAAUCUUGUUUUAAUUUUUUUUAAAUAAUAUCAACCCCCAUAUUUUUCCACUCGCAGAACAUGUUCACAUUCAAGUCUAACUUGCUAAUUUGGAAAAGGAAAUCAAAUCAAAUCAAUACCAAAGCAAUGAAAAGUAAAACUUUUGGAUUCUAACUCCAGCUAGCAAACGUUGGAAUUCAAUAAUUAAAUUCUCCUGUUUAAUUUGUUUUAAGUUAAAUUACUAAUUACUUAAACUCUGUUUUAAGUCUUUAAUUUUAUGUGUUGGCGUGUACGCAGAAUUGGAUUCUUGAGUGACUUGGACAUGACCCCAAUGAAAUUGAUGGUAAACAAACAUUAAAACGUGUGGACUCCGGUAGCUGCCCUGCAACUCUACAAUAAUAAUUGAGUACACACCUUUGAUUCUCGGGACCCCUUCAAUGAAUUUCCAGCACCGUUGACUCCACUGGCUAAGGCUAAAAUUUUGUAAUACAAAACUUGUGGAAUUUUUGGCCUUGUGGACCAAAAUGUAAAUUGAAGAAAAAGACAAAAAAGAAAAGGGGCUAGAGUUGUAAAACGUGUACAAGGUCUGAAGAUGGUUCAUGAUUUAUUGGAAUAACCUGCCUCCAAUAUCAUGAUGAUUGAUUUUUUUUUAAAUAAUAUCAAUUUCCAUAUCUUUCCACUCCCGGAAAAUGUUCACAUUCAAGUCAAAUUAAAUCGACACCAAAACAAUGAAAAUUGAAAAGUAAAACUUAUGAAUUCUAACUCUAGCUGGCAAACGUAUUCAGUAUUUUUAAAUUCUUUGAAUCGCUUAUCUUCUUCCUCCAUCAAUGCAAUAUCAAGUAUUUUUUUUCUUUUUCGUAAUCUUUUCUUUGCAUUUCUUUUUGCUCCAUCAAUGUACUUUAACUUCUUUUUUUUUAUUAGAACGUCUCGGAAAGAGUUGAAGAACAUAAAAAAGCUCUUGGUUUUAUACGGUAAAAUAAAUAUAACUUAUAAUUAUUCAACUAACAAUUAUUUAUUUACCUAUUUUAGUAAUUUCACCGAAGAAUAAUAAUCUAAUUACAAAAAAUCUAGUCAGUUGGGUGGUUUUAUACAAAAUCAACUACAUACCCAUAUACAGAUGCAGAUGCAAAUAAUAUUUUUAAAUAAGAAAAUUGUAUAUUGAGAUGAAUAAGAUGUUUCUAUGAUUCUAUCUUAGGAAAGCUUGGUGGUGGUAACGACAUGAAGUUGCGAGUUGCCGCACAUAGUUGCUAGUAAUAUAAUAAAACAAGAGAAAUUAAUUAAACUCAGGCCUUUACGUAUAUGUUAUCUUAACUUUACUUGCCCUUGUUUGAUGAUAUUCAUUCUUGGAGCUAAGGGCGCAUGUAAUAUUUGUAAUUGUAUUAAAGUAUAUAUUAAUGUGAUUUUCAAAAUCAGGUUUUAAAAUCUAUAGGAUAGGCUGAUUUUGGUAGUUUUGGGUCGGCCGUUGCAGCCAUUGAGACUUUAUUAAUAAUAAUAAUAAUAAUAAUAAUAAUAAUAAUAAUAAUAAUAAUAAUAAUAAUAAUAAUAAUAUCAACUUCCAUAUCUUUCUAACCCCGGAAUAUGCUCACGUCACGUUCAAGUCUAUCUUGCUAACUUGAAAAAGAAAAUCAAAUCAAAUCAACACCAAAGCAAUGAAAAUUAAAGCUUUUGAAUUUCAACUCCAGCUAGCAAACAUAUUGAGCGUUCCCAAUUUCUUCCCAUUGCAUAUCUUCUUCCUCCAUCAAUACAAUAUUAAUUACUUUUUCUUUAUCAUAUUCUUUUCUUUGCAUUUCUUCUUCCUCCACCAAUGCAAUAUUUGAACGAUUAGGAAAGAGUUUAAGAACAUAAAAAAUCUCCUAGGUUUAUACGGUAUAGCAAAUUUAAAUUCUCAAUUACAAUAGAUAAUAAUUAAACUAAUAAUUUUUUGUGUACUUAUUUUAGUAAUUUCACUUAAGAAUAAUAUUGUAAUUAGAAAAAAUCUAAUAAGUAGGGUGGUCUUAUACAAAAUCAACUGCAUACAGAGAAUUCCACCAAAUGCAAAACACGUGGAAUUUAAUUUUCGGCCGUGUGGACCAAAACAUAAUUUAAUGAAAAAAGAAAAAAAUGAUAAGAUUUCUAAAAUGUGUGGAAGGUAAUCCAUAUUUCACUGAAACGACUUGUUAAAUUUGACUUAUUAAAAUGUGGCGACUUCGAUGGCUUUAUCUUAUUAAAAUGUGGAUGACUUCCAGUUAACAUAUAGUUUAAAACCAUUAUGUAAAUCAAUCUAUUAAUUUUCAUGAUAUUUAAUUGAGUUAAAACUAAGUGCACUCAAUAAAUCUCUUUUCCUUUAAAAAACUGCUACACUUUGAAUUUAAUGCUUAAUAUUAAUUGAACUCUGAUACAGGAAAUUUGAAAUCAAACUCGUAACUACAGAUUAUCUAAUUGCGAGUUGCUGUCCAUAGCCGCUGAACCGUAGUGAUUAUCUAAUUAACUGAGGUGACAACAAUUUUUUUUUUUUAAUUUUCAAUAGCACAAUGUGGAAUUCAAUAAUUAAAUUCUCCUGUUUAAUUUGUUUCAAGUUAAAUUAUUCAUUACUUCAACUCUGUUUUAAGUCUUUAAUUUUAUGUGUUUAUGCAGAAUUGGAUUCUUAAGCGUGUUGGACACGACCAACAAUGAAAUUGGAUUCUCGAGACCCUCCAAUGAAUUUCUAGCCAUGUUGACUCCACCGACUAAAGUUCUGUAAAAUAAAAAAAAGUACAUAGAAUUCCACCAAAUGCAAUUUUUGGCUCGUAUGGACCAAAAUAUAAUUUAACGAAAAAGGAAAAAAUAGUAAGAUUUUUAGAAUGUGUGGAAAGUGAUCCAUAUUUUACUGAAACAACUUGUCUCGAACAUCAAGAUGAUUGAUAUUUUUUUUAAUAAUAUCAACUUUCAUAUCUUUCUACCCCCAGAACAUGCUCACAUUCAAGUCUAUAUUGCUAAUUUGAAAAAGAAAAUUAAAUCAAAUCAACACCAAAGCAAUGAAAAGUAAAGCUUUUGAAUUUUAACUCCAGCUGGCAAACGUAUUUAGCGUUUUCAAUUUCUUCCCAUUCCAUAUCUUCUUCCUCCAUCAAUGGAAUAUUAAGUACCUUUUCUUUAUCAUAUUCUUUUCUUUGCAUUUCUUCUUCCUCCGUCAAUGCAAUAUUUGAACAAUUAGGAAAGAGUUUAAGAACAUAAAAAAUCUCCUAGGUUUAUACGGUACAACAAAUUUAAAUUCUCAAUUAUAAUAGAUAAUAAUUAAACUAAUGAUUAUUUAUUUACUUAUUUUAGUAAUUUUACCUAAGAAUACUAUUGUCAUUAGAAAAAAUCUAAUAAGUGGAGUGGUUUUAUACAAAAUCAACUGCAUACAGUAAUAAGUGAGUACGCACCUUUGAUUCUCAGGACCCUUCAAUGAAUUUCUAGCCCUGUCGACCCACCGGCUACGGCUAAAGGUCUGUAAAACAAGUAAAUAGAAUUUUCACAAAAUGCAAAACUUGUCGAAUUUAAUUUUUGACCAUGUGGAUCAAAAUGUAAAUUAAAGAAAAAGACAAAACAAAAAAGAGGUAAAAUUUUCAAAAUGUGUUAAAGGUGACUCAUUAUUUAUUAGAGCGAUCUGCCUCGGAUAUCAAGACGAUUAAUCUUUUUUUUAAAUUUUUUUUGAAAUAAUAUCAACCCCCAUAUUUUUCCACUCGCAGAACAUGUUCGCAUUCAAGUCUAACUUGCUAAUUUGAAAAAGGAAAUCAAAUCAAAUCAAUACCAAAGCAAUGAAAAGUAUAAGUUUUGGAUUCUAACUCCAGCCAGCAAACGUUUGAAUUCAAUAAUUAAAUUCCCCUGUUUAAUUUGUUUUAAGUUAAAUUACUAAUUACUUAAACUCUGUUUUAAGUCUUUAAUUUUUUUUUUGUUUGAGAAAUUUAAGUAUUUAAUUUUAGGUGUUGGCGUGUAUGCAGAAUUGGAUUCUUGAGUGACUUGGACAUGACCACAAUGAAAUUGAUGGCAAACAAACAUUAAAACGUGUGGACUCCGGUACCUGCCGUGCAAUUCUACAAUAAUAAGUGAGUCCGCACCCUUGAUUGUCGGGACCCCUUCAAAAAAUUUCCAGCCCCGUUGACUCCAUUGGCUAAGGCUAAAAUUUUGUAAUAGAAAAAAGGUCAAUUCUUGUGGAAUUUAAUUUUUGGCCUUGUGGACCAAAAUGUAAAUUAAAGAAAAAGACAAAAAAGAAAAGUGGCAAGAUUUAUAAAACGUGUAGAAGGUUGUCCAUGAUUUAUUCGAAUAACCUGCCUCGAAUAUUGUAAUGAUUGAUUUUUUUUAUUUAUUUUUAAAUAAUAGCAAUUCUCAUAUCUUCCCACUCCUUGAAAAUGCUCACAUUCAAGUCAAAUUAAAUCGACACCAAAACAAUGAAAAUUGAAAAGUAAAACUUGUGAAUUCUAACUCUAGCUGGCAAACGUAUUCAGUAUUUUUAAAUUCUUCGAAUCGCUUAUCUUCUUCCUCCAUCAAUGCAAUAUCAAGUAUUUUUUUUUCUUUUUCGUAAUCUUUUCUUUGCAUUUCUUUUUGCUCCAUUAAUGUAAUUUAACUUCUUUUUUUAUUUGAAUGGCUCGGAAAGAGUUGAAGAACAUAAAAAAGCUCUUGGUUUUAUACGGUAAAACAAAUUUAACUUAUAAUUAUUCAACUAACAAUUAUUUAUUUACCUAUUUUAGUAAUUUCACCGAAGAAUAAUAAUGUAAUUACAAAAAAUUUAGUAAGUUGGGUGGUUUUAUACAAAAUCAACUACAUACACAUAUACAGAUGCAGAUGCAAAUAAAAUUUUUAAAUAAGAAAAUUGUAUAUUGAGAUGAAUAAGAUGUUUCUAUGAUUCUAUCUUAGAAUCAAAAUAUUAUCUUAACUUUUUUCUUUUAAUCUAAAUUAGAAGAGAGAGAUUUAGAUCGCAAUUGAUCAAAAUAUUGUUCUACUUUUUUUAAAUCAAUGUCAAAAUUAACAUAAUCUAAAUUAAAAAAUGGUCAAAAGUUAAUUCUAUGCUUUAAUUAUUUUUCAUGUAAUGAAUCUACUAAUUAAUUAUUGUAAACCAUUCUUUUGAUUUAAUAGGGAAAUCAAUUUACAGAAAAAAAAAUAAAUUAAACUAUACAUCAUUCAAGUUCUUCUAUUUACAUAUGGAGACUAACUUUUCACAAUUUCCAUUUCUUUCUAGCGGAUAGCACAGAGGAAAAAGAGAUCAAGUGUUUUUUUAAAAAAAAAAAAAUAGAAGAAGAAGAAAGAAAGUACAUCUUUUUUUUGUUUUUUGUUUUUUGGUCUACUGUGUGAGCGUAUUGAGCAGUGAAACCCUGGUGGUGAUCAAACUUCUGAACACUUUCUCACUAGCAAGUUCAAUUUCACAAAUGCAGUCCUCCAAAUUUUGCAUUCUCAUCAAGACCACCUUCACUUGUUCAUCUCCUUUCUUUCUGAAGCCCCACAAGCUACCACCACCGACCUGUUGAAACUCUUGAAUGCCCUCUUCGAAUUUUACUCUGUUGGCUUUCUUGCUCAGUCUCAAACUCUCAAAUAUAUAUUGGCUAUUUUUUUUUCAUGAAAUUUCAUAAGAGCAAAUUCAGGUGUAAUAGUAAGAUUUUUUUUAUGUUGUUUUAAAUUAAUAUUUGAAAUAUACAAAAUUUAUGUGCUAAUUAUCUUAUCUUGUCUAUUAUUUAUACUCUUUUUUUUUUAAAUAUGAAUACGCAGUUAAUUUUUAAUACGUUAUAAAGAUAGAUAAUUUAAUAAUAUUAAAAAUUAAUUUUUUAUAAAACCACACGACUUAAUAACAUAUCUACAUAAAAAAAAAAGACAUACACACUAAAAAAAAAUUUAUAUAUAUAUAUAAUACAUCAUCGUGAUACCAUAUAACUUAUUGAUUUAAAAAAAAAAAACUAUGAAGCUUAACUGUGCAAGUGAAACGUUAUCACUCAUUUACGAUGAAAAGAUACUUUACUUCUUUUUUUUUUUUUUUAAAAAAAAAGAGAAACGUCACUUCAAUUGAAAAAGUUUUUGUUUGAUUGUAUGCUGACAUUAAUUGGUAAUUUUUUUUUUAGAAAAUUGCGACUAUUCAAAUUAAUCCACUACGACCCCACUUCAAGAAAAUGCCAUGCUAGGGUGUGGAAAUUUUAGCACAAUAAUACAACAACAACGACUUGCACAAUAAUACAAAAAUUAGAACAAUAUCUUAAUUAAUCUAAAUCUCUCUCUUCUAGUUUUCAAUCUAAAUCUCUCUCUUCUAAUUUUUCUUUUAAAAUUAUAAUUGAAAAUUGAGGCUUGUUCACUAGCAUAAGAAAUCAAUAAAAAGAGAAGGAAAAAAAAAUUCUUUUUCUUUUGUUAAGGUUUCAAACUUCACAAAAGGCAAAUUAAAGCAAGAGAGAGAGUUUACUUAGAGAAAAAGAAGAAUAGGGUUAGUUUGGAAUCAAAUUAGGUUUUAAAAUUGGUUUGCCGGUUCAUUUUAAUUUCGGGGGUGCGGCAAGAAAGCGGUUUUUUAAGGGAAUUAGAGGCGCGACAAUACCGCCACUCUUUUUAAAAAUUAACGGUUCGGGUCUGGGAAAGAAUUGGACCGGCGGUCCACGUUAACUCAUUCACUCACGGUUUAUAAGAAUUUGGGUAAAUUAAGCCGUUGUGUUGGAGAUUUUUUUUUUUUUUGAUUACAUGAGACUAUUGCUCAGAUUACAACUCAUAUACAUGAGACUAUAACUGAUAUUUACAAAUCAGACUAGUACUGGGACCAAAUUACAUCAUUACUAAUGGAGCUCUGCCCAGAUUUUAACCCUCACAAAUAUUCGAGGGAUGUCUACUCCUCACUCAUGGGUAAGGGAGAAGACUACCUUCACUUAAAUUAAUUGAGAAAGAAAAUACCCCCAUAAUAUUUUUAUGGGGAUUCGAACUGCUGCCCUCCAAGUCCCUCCAACUUGGAGGGCAGCAGCCCUGGCCACUCGGGCUGAGCCGAGUGGUUGUUGUGUUGGAGAUUUAAGAUGUCUUAAAGUAGGAUUCCUCGAUUACCUGCGGGUACUAUAAAUGAUUAACAUCUCUAGGCAUGCAGGUAAAUCCAACUAAUGCAAUGCAAGCUUCUUUUUGUAUAAUCCUAGAAUACACGUCUUCAUCUGUUAUAGAUACAAACAGCUCAAUCUCUUCCACACAUACAGAUGCACAAAUCAUGACAGUAAACAAACAUUACUAGGGGUGUUUAGAAUCCAAUCCGAUCAGCUCAAUCCGUCUGAUCCGUGGAUCCGUGGAUUGGAUAUGGAUUGAAAAUUUAAAAAUCCACAGUCGAUGGAUUGGAUAUGGAUUUACUUCUGUAAAUCCGUUAAAAUCCGUGAAUCCGCAAAAUAUAUAUAUAUAUAGUUAAAAAAAAUUAUAAAUUUAAUUAAAGAAUAUUAUGAAUGUGACAUUACAUAAUUACAUAAGCACUAUAACAUAUCUUAGUCAUUACCCAAUAAUAAUAUAAAAUAAUUAAAUAAUCAAAUAUGCAAAUAUAACUUGUAAAAAUUGCAAAACAAAAUAAAAACAAAGUCACACGCACUAGCAAAAGCAAAGUAACAUAACGUCAAGUUACCAACAAUUUGCAAAGUCACCCAAAAGCAAAGUAACAUAACGCCAAGUCACUAACAAUUUGCAAACAAAAAACCCUAAGCUUCCCCGCCAUCACAUGCCUUAUCAACACCCAAUACUGAUUCGAUACACUCUUGACACCGAUUUGAAGGACGUCGGCCGCACGAUUCCAACGAGAGCAAGCCAACUUCUUCCUCGAGUCCAUCGAGCCACUUCACAAUCACUGGUUCUAGCCAAACAAUUGCACUAUUGCACUAUCACAACCUUCAAGAUCACCACCCGUACUUCUCCUGAUUCCCAUCAUUGACGGCUCCAUAAUCACUACUUUUCGACAAGUACAACAGCCCUGGUGAAGGAUCAGACCGUGUUUGGUUCCAGAAAAUUCGCCAUUUCAAUUAAUUAUGGCUUUAUUUGACAAGUAAAAUUAUUUUUAUAUUAGAUUUUUUUAAUUUCAUUAGUUCAUGCAUUGGGGAGAACUAAAAAUUUUUAAUUCGGAAACUAAUGUGUAAAAUGGUAGAUUGGAUAUGGAUUAAGUUAAAUCCGCAUCCGAUCCGCAGACGUAUGGAUUGGAUAUGAAUUGAGUCAAAUCCGCAUCCGAUCCGUAGAUGUAUGGAUUGGAUUGAAAAAUUAUAAUCCGCAAAAUUAUGGAUCAGAUAUGGAUUGAUAUCCAAUCCGUAAAAUCCUAUCCGCGAACACCCCUAAACAUUACAAAGUGUGGACUCCGGUAGUUGCCCCACAAGUCUACAACUUUACAAAUAAUAAUCGAGUAAGCACCUUUGAUUUCCUAGCCCCGUUGACUCCACCGACUAAAGUUGUGUAAAAUAAACAAAUAUAUAUAUAGAAUUCCACCAAAUGCAAAACGCAUGGAAUUUAAUUUUUGGCCGUGUAGACCAAAACAUAAUUUAACGAAAAAGAAAAAAAUGACAAGAUUUUUAAAAUAUGUGGAAGGUGACCCAUUUUUUACUGAAACAACUUGUUAAAUUUUUCAAGGAUUUAGAAUAUUUGGUCAUAAAUUACAAACAUGUUAAUUUUUCGGCCAUUGAUUAUCAUAUUCUAGACUUAAUGGUACCUUUCUUGAUGAAGGGUACUUAGUCUCUCUUCUCCUCUUAUAAAAAUUAUAUUAAUUGAUUUUUUGUUAUAGUUAAUAGUCUUUAAGAACGGAUAGAUUUAUUGUUUUCAUGACCAAAUUAUGCAUGCCUAAGGUUGCAACUAUUAAUAAAAUUAAUAUUUAAUGUUUAUGUUAAAAGAUAUAAGAUUUUAUGCAUUCAUUAAAUGUUAUUAGCUAAAGGAUGAAUUAUUUUUUCCCAAUCAGUUGAUGCAUCUGCAAGAGUUUUUUUUUUUUCCUUUGAUUGACCAUAAUUAUGUUCCGGGUACAAUAAAUUGUCUUUGGUGCUUGAAGAUAUGACGUCUCUCUGUCAACUUACUGGAAAUAUCUCCUCAUCUACUCUCAUUUAUCUAAUAUCAAUUGAAGAUCUCAUAUUUCCAAACUAUGACUUCCAAAUCUCAUUAUCAUUUGAGCAUUCAAAACUAAUCAAGUGUGGAAAUAAUCAAAUAUAUGCAAAAAUCGAGUCACAAUCUUUGGCCCCUCAAAAUUCUAAUUAUAUAACUUCUAUAUAUCUCAUACAUUUUCCAAAUUCCUCUUCCAUCAACAUCACUAGGAGUAUGUUCAUCUCUCACACAUUAACUUGAGUGAAGAGUUUCUAAAUUGAUUAUUAGAAAACAAUACAAAAGCUAGACACACUUGAUCUGUCUAAUAAUUCUCUUUCGGUAAAAUUAAUUAAUUUUAGGGUAAUAUUCAGCCAACCUCUGUAAUUUCAGAGUAAUCAUUAAUUAAUUAAACGAUACAAUAUCUAAAGUGAUUAGAUGUUUGCGGACAAUACAAGUUCAUGACAUGAAAUUUGAUCUCUAUCGAUUGGUUUACAAAUGGACGUACUUAUGCCUUUGUGGCCAAAAUUGAACCAGAGAUGUGCAGCUGUAAGGAUUUGGCAGUAGUCAAUUGUUAUAAAGACAUAAUGACAAGGGAAAAUUCUAUAAUGCCGUAAAUAAAUUUACGGCAUUGAUACCGUAAUAAACGUGGACCAUUGGAUUAGAUCAACGGUACCUAAUAAUUAUAAUAUAAUAAAGUAUUUAAAAAUUUUUCGUUAACAGGUUUACAACCGGUUAAACAUUUAUUUUAAAAAAUUAACCCGUUAAAAUUUCAAAAUUAUAUAUAUUUUAAAAUUGAAAUCUACGAAAGUCCAAAUAGAAUCAAAGUCUGGUCAUAAUUCGAAGGUCCCGGAAUCGAAUCUAAAAAUCGCAGCACGCCGGAUUUUGUAUCUUUGAAGCAAUCGAGUUUGCUGGCUAACCCGAAUUUUGUUGUAAAUUGAAAGAAGAACUUGUAAACAAAACAAAAACUUAGAAAAAUGACAUAGAACUUGUAAAUUGACAUUAAGUAUGAAAUAAAACAACAAAUGUGUAAAUCACACAUAAAACUAGUAAAUUAAUGGAAAAAUGAGUAAAUUAAUGUUGGAGUUGUAAAUUGUAAGAAGAACUUGUAAACAAAACAAAAACUUAGAAAAAUGACAGAGAACUUGUAAAUUGACAUUAAGUGUGAAAUAAAAUAAAAAAAAUAUGUAAAUCACACAUAAAACUAGUAAAUUAAUUGAAAAAUUGGGAAAUUAAUGUUGGAGUUGUAAAUUGAAAGAAGAACUUGUAAACAAAACAAAAAUUUAGAAAAAUAACAUAGAACUUGUAAAUUUACAUUAAGUGUGAAAUAAAAUAAAAAAUAUGUAAAUCACACAUAAAACUAGGGAAUGGAUGGAAAAAUUAGUAAAUUAAUGUGGGAGUUGUAAAUUGAAAGAAGAACUUAUAAACAAAACAAAAACUUAGAAAAAUGACAUAGAACUUGUAAAUUUACAUUAAGUGUGAAAUAAAACAAAAAAUGUGUAAAUCACACAUAAAACUAGUAAAUUAAUGGAAAAAUUGGGAAAUUAUUGUUGGAGUUGUAAAUUGAAAGAAGAACUUGUAAACAAAACAAAAACUUAGAAAAAUGACAUAGAACUUGUAAAUUGACAUUAAGUAUGAAAUAAAACAACAAAUGUGUAAAUCACACAUAAAACUAGUAAAUUGAUAGAAAAAUGAGUAAAUUAAUGUUGGAGUUGUAAAUUGUAAGAAGAACUUGUAAACAAAACAAAAACUUAGAAAAAUGACAUAGAACUUGUAAAUUGACAUUAAGUGUGAAAUAAAAUAAAAAAAUAUGUAAAUCACACAUAAAACUAGUAAAUUAAUUGAAAAAUUGGGAAAUUAAUGUUAGAGUUGUAAAUUGAAAGAAGAACUUGUAAACAAAAUAAAAAUUUAGAAAAAUAACAUAGAACUUGUAAAUUUACAUUAAGUGUGAAAUAAAAUAAAAAAAUAUGUAAAUCACACAUAAAACUAGGGAAUGGAUGGAAAAAUUAGUAAAUUAAUGUUGGAGUUGUAAAUUGAAAGAAGAACUUGUAAACAAAACAAAAACUUAGAAAAAUGACAUAGAACUUGUAAAUUUACAUUUAGUGUGAAAUAAAACAAAAAAUGUGUAAAUCACACAUAAAACUAGUAAAUUAAUGGAAAAAUUGGGAAAUUAAUGUUGGAGUUGUAAAUUGAAAGAAGAACUUUUAAACAAAACAAAAACUUAGAAAAAUGACAUAGAACUUGUAAAUUGACAUUACGUAUGACAUAAAACAAAAAAUGUGUAAAUCACACAUAAAACUAAUGAAUUGAUGGAAAAAUGAGUAAAUUAAUGUUGGAAUUGUAAAUUGCAAGAAGAACUUGUAAACAAAACAAAAACUUAGAAAAAUGACAUAGAACUUGUAAAUUUACAUUAAGUGUGAAAUAAAACAAUAAAUAUGUAAAUCACACAUAAAACUAGUGAAUUAAUGGAAAAAUUGGUAAAUUAAUGUUGGAGUUGUAAAUUGAAAGAAGAACUUGUAAACAAAACAAAAACUUAGAAAAAUGACAUAGAACUUGUAAUAAGUUUGAAAUAAAACAAAAAAUGUGUAAAUCACACAUAAAACUAGUGAAUUAAUGGGAAAAUGAGUAAAUUAAUGUUGGAGUUGUAAUUUGAACGAAGAACUUGUAAACAAAACAAAAACUUAUAAAAAUGAUAUAGAACUUGUAAAUUGACAUUAAGUGUGAAAGAAAACGAAAAAUGUGUAAAUCACACAUAAACCUAGUAAAUUGAUGGAAAAAUUAGUAAAUUAAUGUUGGAGUUAUAAAUUGCAAGAAGAACUUGUGAACAAAACAAAAACUUAUAAAAAUGACAUAGAACUUGUAAAUUGACAUUAAGUGUGAAAUAAAACAACAAAUAUGUAAAUCACAUAUAAAACUAGUGAUUUAAUGGAAAAAUUGGUAAAUUAAUGUUGGAGUUGUAAAUUGAAAGAAGAACUUGUAAACAAAACAAAAACUUAGAAAAAUGACAUAGAACUUGUAAAUUUACAUUAAUUGUGAAAUAAAACAAAAAAUGUGUAAAUCACACAUAAAACUAGUAAAGUAAUGAAAAAAUAGGUAAAUUAAUGUUAGAAUUGUAAAUUGUAAGAAGAACUUGUAAACAAAACAAAAACUUGUAAAUGUUGCAUAAAACUUAUAAAUCAGCAUUAACUUGUAAAAGUUUCAUAAAACUUGUAAAUCACACAUAAAAUUAGUAAAUGUAACCUGGAACUUGUAUAAAAAUGAGUAAUUACCUACUACUUAGGUAACAAGUUACUUAUUUAUUUAGAAUUAGUGGUAUAGAUUUUUUAUUCAAAUCUAACGGCCCACGUCCAUUACGUCAUCAAUGCCGUAAAUUUAAUUACGGCAUUAUAGAAUGACCCUAAUGACAAGUUCCCAUGAUUAUUAUUUUUUCCGAAAACUUUUUUACAACAAAUUCAUCUCGCCAAAAAUUUUAUUUUGUUAACUAACAAUAAUUGAGCACUUGGCCGCAUUGACUCCACGUCUCCACCUACUUUCUAAGUAAAAACAUGGAAAUGUAAUCUCUACAAAAUGCCAAACGUGUGGAAUUUAAUAUUUGGCCUUGUGGACCAAAAUGCAAAUGAAAGAAAAAGAGAAAAAAAACAAGGCCCAAAGACUUCUAAAAGAUGUAAAAGUCUUUGGGCUUUUUUAUAAUAGUAGAUUUUUUAAAAGUAAAAAAUACCAACACUUAUAUGGUUUGUUUUGAUAAUCACAUUUACAUAUACUCUCUAAUUUUCAAAAUGGAUACAUAAAUCUUUUUUUUUUUCUACAAAUGUAUAUUAUUCGUAUUUUUUAUUAUUUUUAAUAUCAUAUUGUUAUUUAUUAUAAAUGUUUAAAGUAAAUUUUUAGGUUGAAAUAUAAUAAAAGGGUAUAAUCGUUCUCUUAUUAAACACCCAUACUUUUAGUUUCUAUCCAUUUGUCAUCUCAAUCUCUCUCAAUUAUUCUUUAUUGCUAGCUCAAAACGCGUUGCUGUUGCAAAUUAUAGCAAAAAGACAAACAUGGAAAAGAAAAAAGGGUAGAAAAUUAAUGCAUGAAAGACUUGGAGAAAACAACGAAAUAAGUCAACUAUAAUCUAGCUGGGUGUAUAAAUUGUUUGAUGCUUUAUAAGCAAAUAACAUACAGAGACAGACAAUGUGUGUUCGUUUUUUCAUAGUUAAAGAUAUAGUUAGAAUGGGUGGUUCAAAAUCAAAAAUGGUGAUAAUGUUUGUUAUGUUAUUAAUAAUAUUUAAAAGUGGGUGGAGUGAGGGAUGUUGGGAUCACGAGAGAUUUGCUCUUUUGCGACUCAAACAUUUCUUCGAUGAUACUGGUAGUUAUCUUUACGACUGGGUAGAUGAUGAGGGAGCUACUGAUUGUUGUCAAUGGGAAAGGGUUGAGUGCAGCAACACCACAGGCCGAGUGAUAGCGCUAGACCUUUUUGAAAUGUAUUCGGGAGAGUACAGCUGGUAUCUGAAUGCUUCUUUGUUUACUCCCUUCCAACAACUUGAGUCACUUGAUUUAACUGACAACAAUAUAGCUGGUUGUGUUGAGAAUGAAGGUGCUUCGUUUAAUUUAAUUAAUUUACUUUCUCCCCCCUAAUUUAAGUUGAAUAUCAAGACCGAGCAACUAUACGCAUAUUCAUUUAGUCGACAAUUUUGACUUUUUUUUUAAGUGAUUAAUUAAUUUUAAAAUUACACCAAUAUCUAUGAUCUUUUUUUUUUUUUAAUUUUGCUUGCAGGUCUAGAGAGGCUAUCAAGAUUGAACAACUUGAAGAUGCUUAAUUUAUGUGAUAACUCGUUCAACAAUAGCAUUUUAUCAUCACUAACUCAUCUUUCAUCAUUAAGAUCAUUAAAUUUAUAUGGGAAUAGAUUGGAAGGAAGUAUUGACGUUAAAGGUACAUAAUUAAAACUUCAUCCCUUAUCCAAGCUCUUUCAUUAACUUGCUAAAAUAAUAUUCAAGGCUUUGAAUUCAAUUUUUUUUUAUGAUUAGUAUUAAAAAAACAGUUUCAAGCAAUUUAUAAAUACAAGUUUUAAUGUUUCUCAUAAUUUCAUCUUGUACUUUGAUAUGUCUCGAAUUUAAGAUUAAAAAAAAAAACUCUAAUAACGAACCAAACACCUCCACAACUUAUUAUUAUUAUUAUUAUUAUUAUUAUUAUUAUUAUUAUUUGUGGUGAGGUUUGAAACAUUCAACUCAAUUUGUACUUAUUACAGAAUUUGAUUCUUUGAGAGAUUUAGAGGAGCUAGACAUUGGUGAGAACAAGAUUGACAAAUUUGUGGUCUCAAAAGGUACUACAAAUACCAUUAAAAAAAUGCUAACUUAUACAAAUUAGUUGGAUUCUUUGCCAUUUGGUUUAUUAUUUUGCAGGUUUGAGUAAGCUGAAGUCUCUCGAUUUAAGUGGUAUCAAACUCAAUCGUAGCAUCUUAUCUUCUCUUUCUUCGUUAAGAGAAUUAUAUAUAAGUAGUACGGGAUUCAAAGGAACAUUUGAUGUUCGAGGUAAGUCUAAGCCUUGCUUUCUCAUUUUAUAUAUGCCAACUAGAUUUGUGUAUCAUCGACAUAAUUUAAUAUUUAAUUUGAUAAGUCUGAAGGAAUUACAUGCUAAUUUAAACAUACUUUUAUUUACUUUGUCCAUUAAUUAAUUAAUUACUAUUUGGCUUGGUUUGGAUGAAAUUCUCAUGAUGUUUUAAUUUCUUUAAAUUAAUUAAUUAAUUAACUCUGUUUUUAAGUCUUAAGUCUGGGCAUGUUUGCAGAAUUUGAUUCCUUCAAUAACUUAGAAGUGUUGGACAUGAGCGACAAUGAAAUCGACAAUCUUGUGGUUCCUCAAGGUAAACAAUUAAAAUAUUAUUCAAUUACAUUAUUUUAAUUCAUUUGAUUAGAGAAGGCCAAAAAGGUCCAAAAAAAAAAAAUAAUAAUAAAGAAACAGAUAAUUUGUAUUAUUUAAAAAACAGAAUGUAAUAAAGAUUUGAUUCCAGUUCUUCAAUCUUUAAAGCGAUUGAAAAACAAUGUUGCUCUUUUCCCAAAGCAGAAAAUACGAAUUGAAUGCCAAUUAACUUAAUCAUUCAUUUCGUUUAGCUCUAAAUUUAGACAAUGAAUUUUUAUAUUAUUUCAAAAACAAGACGUAAUAGAAUUUUUUUAAAAAACAGAUUGUAAUAAAGAUUUGAUUCCAAUUCUUUAACCUUUACAGUGAUUGAAAAACGAUACUGCUUCCCAAAGCAUAAAAUGCAAAUUGACUCCCAAUUAAAUUAAUCAUUUAUUUCAUUUAGGUCUAAAUUUUAGAAAAAUGAAUUUUGAUUCUCUUCAAUCUUUUCUUAAUUAUUAUUAAAAAACAGGUUACAGAGGUUUGAGGAAGCUGAAAAGCCUUGAUCUAUUGGGAGUUGGAAUUAGAGAUGGAAGCAAGUUGUUACAGUCAAUGAGAUCAUUCCCAUCCCUCAACACUCUUGUCCUUGGGGAUAAUAAUUUUACCGAUAUAGCGACAACUACUACUCAAGGUAAGUGAAAAGGUACAGAUGUGGCCAAAUUUAUAAAUAAAUUAUUAAUUAAUUAAUUUUUCCGUAUUAUUAAUUAAGCUAAAUUUGUUGCUCCUUCCUUCUAAAUCUAAACAGAGUUGCACAAUUUCACCAACUUGGAAUAUUUGACAUUGGACUCUUCCUCUCUCCAUAUAAGCCUUCUGCAAAGCAUUGCAUCAUUAUUCCCUUCAUUAAAAAAUCUGUCGAUGUCUGGUUGUGAAGUCAAUGGUGUCCUACGCGGUCAAGGUAAAAGAAAAGCGUUGAUUGUGAACUCACUCAAUGGUGUCCUACGUGUUCAACAUUUUUGUUUAUUUAUUUUAUUGUUUAAUGUUUCUGCUAGGUUUUCCUUCUUUCAAGAGUUUGGAACAUUUGCACAUGAGCUCCACGCGCAUUGCACUCAACACCAGCUUUCUUCAAAUCAUCGGUGAAUCGAUGCCUUCUCUUAAGUACUUAUCACUGUCAAAUUAUACUCGUGGCACUAACAGCAGCAGGAUUCUUGAUCAAGGUUAAUCAGAUGCUCCCACCCUCCCUUCUUAAUCUAUAAUAUUAAUUUUCAAUUCAAUAUUUAAUUACACAAACAAUACGCAUUCAUUAAUCUUUAUAUUGUAUUAAUAAUUGAUGAAUUUAAUAAAUUUUCAGGCCUCUGUUCGUUGAUGCAUCUGCAAGAGUUGUACAUUUAUAAUAAUGAUUUAAGAGGCAGCUUGCCUUGGUGCAUGGCAAAUAUGACAUCCCUCAGAAUAUUAGAUGUUUAUUCCAAUCAACUUACUGGAAGCAUCUUCUCAUCUCCCCUCGUUCAUUUGACAUCCAUUGAAGAGCUGAUGCUUUCAAACAAUCACUUCCAGAUCCCAAUUUCACUUGAACCACUUUUCAAUCAUUCAAGACUCAAGAUUUUUUAUGCUGACAACAACGAACUAAAUGAAGAAAUAACUGAGUCACAUUCUUUGACCGCCCCAAACUUCCAAUUAUCACGUCUCUCAUUGUCUUCCAGUUACGGAGACAGUUUCAUAUUCCCCAAAUUUCUUUACCAUCAACAUGACCUGGAGCUUGUUGAUCUCUCACACAUAAAGAUGAAUGGAGAAUUUCCAACUUGGUUGUUGGAAAACAACACAAAAUUAGAAACUCUUUCUCUCGUCAAUGAUUCUCUUGGAGGACCUUUUCGGUUGCCAAUUCAUUCACACAAGCGGUUAGGAAUGUUGGAUAUAUCCAACAACAACUUCCGAGGCCACAUUCCAGUAGAAAUUGCAGAUGUUUUACCAAGUUUAUACGCUUUCAACAAUUCCAUGAAUGCUUUAGACGGUAGCAUUCCCUCUUCAUUUGGUAAUAUGAAAUUCCUCCAAUUUCUGGACUUAUCCAACAAUCACUUGACUGGUGAAAUCCCCGAGUACUUGGCCGUCGGUUGCGUCAACUUGAAGUCUCUUGCAUUAUCAAAUAACAACCUACAAGGUCACAUGUUCUCUAGAAAUUUUAACUUGACAAACUUGAAAUGGUUACAAUUGGAGGGCAAUCGCUUCGUAGGUGAGAUCCCACAAAGUUUGUCUAAAUGCUCCUCACUAGAAGGAUUGUAUCUUAACAAUAAUAGUCUUUCGGGUAAGAUUCCACGAUGGUUGGGUAAUCUCACAAGGUUACAAUAUAUUAUAAUGCCCAAUAAUCAUCUUGAAGGCCCUAUUCCAGUGGAGUUUUGUCAGCUGGAUUUGCUUCAGAUUUUGGACAUUUCAGACAACAACAUAUCUGGAAGUCUACCAUCUUGUUUCCAUCCUCUCAAUAUCAAACAAGUUCAUCUUUCAAAAAAUAUGUUACAUGGACAGCUAAAAAGAGGUACAUUCUUUAAUUGCUCUUCCCUUGUGACAUUAGAUCUUAGCUAUAACCGCUUGAAUGGCAGCAUUCCGGAUUGGGUUGAUGGGCUUUCUCAGUUAAGUCACCUUAUCUUAGGUCACAAUAAUCUUGAAGGUGAAGUGCCAGUUCAAUUGUGCGAAUUGAACCAACUACAAUUGUUAGAUCUUUCUAAUAAUAAUCUUCACGGUCCUAUUCCUCCUUGCUUUGAUAACACCACACUUCAUGACAGUUACAGCAAUAGUUCUAGUCUUGAUGAGCAAUUUGAAAUAUCUUUUUCCAUCGACGGCCCUCAGGGAGAUGUAGAAAAGCAAAUCCGUGAAAAUUUUGAGUUCACAACAAAGAACAUUGCGUACAUUUACCAAGGAAAAGUGCUUAGCCUCCUAUCAGGACUUGAUCUUUCUUGCAACAAGCUAAUUGGUCAUAUUCCCCCUCAAAUUGGAAAUUUGACAAGGAUUCAAACAUUGAAUCUAUCACACAACAACUUGACAGGAUUGAUCCCAUCAACAUUUUCAAACUUGAAGCAAAUCGAAAGUUUGGAUCUUUCCUACAACAAAUUGAAUGGGAAAAUCCCUCAUCAACUUGUGGAGUUAAAGGAAUUGGCUGUUUUCAGUGUGGCAUACAAUAACUUAUCAGGCGAAAUUCCAGAAUGGGAAGCACAAUUUGCAACCUUCAACGAGAAUAGCUAUGAGGGAAAUACUUUUCUUUGUGGACUGCCAUUGCCCAUUUGCAGAUCACCAGCAACUAUGUCGGAGGCGUCAAUCGGCAAUGAACGAGAUGAUAAUUUAAUUAACACGGACAGUUUCUUUAUCACAUUUACAACAUCGUACGUAAUAGUGAUAUUUGGAAUUGUUAUUGUUUUAUAUGUAAAUUCUUAUUGGCGACGUAGAUGGUUUUACUUUGUUGAAAUGUGCAUAACUUCAUGUUAUUAUUUUGUUGUAGACAAUCUUAUUCCAACAAGAUUUUGUCAUUGAAAUUAAUUAGUAGCUUAAUUACGAUUCUUUAAGUACUAAUCAAGUUUGCUUAGGAAAUAAAUUUAUUUUUAUUUUUUAUUAAAAUUGUAGUAGUAUUUAGCGUUAUAUAGCUUCCAACUUCCAAGCACUUCACAUUUGUCUCUACACUUCCAAACCCAUAUCUAUCCACCAUAACUUAUACUUCCCUAUACUGUGCAGCAUACUUAAAUAAGAGAACCAUCUCCAAUGUUAAAAGCAGCCACUCUAUAACAUUCAUUUAGAAACUAUAUUCAGAAUAGUUUUAUAAUCAUACACAAGAAAUGAAACACCUAGAUGCACUUGAUCGCCUAUUUUACUUUAAAAAAUAAUGAUUAUGGUGCUAUCAUCAUCUUCUUCACUAGCAACAUUAACACCAAAUCCAGCGAUGGACCCAGACAUUUUAUCAAGAAAGGUAUAUAUAUAAUAAAGUUGAAGCUUGACAAAAAAUUUAGGAAGAUUAAUGCCUCGCCACAACAAGGGGCACAACAACAUCAAAGUAGAGAUGAAGCAAUAUUCUCAAAGCUAAAACUCUCAAAUCCACCCACCAGAAUUUCAUAUCUCCUCAACAAUUUUAAGAACAAAAGAUAAUUAGGAUCUAACAUUAGUUUUUUAUAUAUUAGUUUCAUAAUUUACAAAUCAAUGAAGAUGAAGAUUAUGCUAAUGAAUUCAAAUUAUACCAUACAUUCUCGAGAUGUUACCAAAAAUUUCUAAGUCAAUCCCACAUAUUUCAUAAUUUUAAGACUAGAAAAUUUCAUUAGUCAGAAGUUUCAUUACCUUCAAGUGGAAGAUGAAGAACAUUAUACAAUUGAUUCAGAUUAUAUCAUACAUACUCCAAAUGCAACUAGAAAUUAACAAGUUCAUGCACACAGAUUUCAUAACAUUAUGAAUGGAAAGUUUCACAAAGAGAAAUUCUAAAUUCAAUCUCUUGCAUCAAGGUAGUUUGAUUGAUUUGAGUUACUUUCUGAUCAAGCUAUUAAUAUAACAUUCAAGUCAGGGAGAAAGUAAAUUAAAACUGGGAAGAAAUAACAGUAAAAAUUUGUUGCUAAACAUGAUGUGUAUUUUUUUUUUAAGGCAAUUUGGAAACACAGUUGUUACUACAGAUAUUCUCCUCAACUUAGAAAUAAAUACAAAUAUUAAAAUGCAUAUGAUCGCACAUAGUACUUGGAGCUUAGUAAGAUUUCAUUAAGAGAAGCAAUCAAACCACUUAUCAAUUGUUGCAAUCGUUCUAUAAGCUAAAAUAGCAAUAUAAUACAAGAAAAAGAACAUAUAGAUACUUGGCAAGAGUUCAUUAAGAAGUCGCAUCACAUUCGGGUGAGUUUGCUUCUGAUAUCUUGCUAGCUGGGGCUUUUUCUUGUCUUUCUACGUAUGCCGAGGGAAACCAACCAGCUUGGCCCUUGCAUUCACCUUCCGACCAUCCAGUAGGAGCCACCUUGAGAAGUUAUAACUAAAACAGUGAAUUAAACAACAGUUGACUGUUCAAAGACCUAAGGGGAAAACUAAUUCUUUUACGUAGGAGGAGUGAAUUAGUUGUGAUCACUGAAAUAACAGCAUAACUAUGGAAGCAUAACAAGAUAUAAAUUCACACGUCUAUAAGGGUAAUCUGGGUGGUUUAGAACUGAGCUAGCAACCCUACUAUAUUCUGAUUUGCACUUCAAUGUAAAAGGGAAUAUAUGGUAGGAAGAAAGAAAGCCAACCAUCAUUUGUUAACUCAUUGCUUUUCAAUCAAAAUUUUAAGAACAAAAUGCCAUGUGCUUUGAACAUCAAAUAAGUAUAAGCAUUAGUUCUAAAUUCCACAUAUCAUAAGUUAGAAGGAUAAGUUAAUAGCAUAGUAGAAAAAUCUGUGUUGUUAUUUAGAGGGGAAAGUACCUGGCGAACCACAACAUAAUCAUCAAUUGAAAGACUUAACUCUCCAUUUGCUUGAGCAUCAAAUGGAUGUAUAACCUGCAAGAUAAUGGGAUAAAUAGAACUUGAUCUUAAAAAAAGCAUGAAAAAAAGCAGCAACAGUAGCAGCAGCGUUCAUUGUAACCACUAUGAUCAUGGCCAACAAAGAUAUAUUAGAAAAAAAAUUCCAUUUUUACUACGACAUUAAUAUGUACUAUAUGAUAUCAUGACGAUUGGGUUACCAAGAGCUAUCAAAGUCCAAUAAGUUCUGUAUAACUUUAUGUAGUUAUUCAAAUUAUGGAUCAGAUUUUAAAUCUGAAAUUUUGACUGCUCUCCACAAAACAUGGCCUAUGCACAAGAAAGUCAUAGAUAAUGAGGAUUACAAGUGUCUGACAUCUUUUGAGUGAUGGAUUUAACAUGAGAGCUUAUGGUCAGUCAAUUUCCUCUGCCUAGCAAUAUAAGCUUUCUCGGCCAGAUUUAUCAUCAAAUACAUAGAUUGCCCCAAGUCACAUCCAUAUAAACAUAGUUUUUCUAGGUAAACCAAGCAAGGAGAAUCAUAAUUCAGACAUAAUCAUAAAAAGGCCCAUCUAACUUAAGAGAAAAUCUCAAAAAGAGGGAUGUUGAGCUAUCAGUCUUGUAUCUAUAAGCAAUAUCAAGACUUUACAUCACCUGCUACAUCGUGAGUGGCUACACAACUUUCAGUGGUUUGUCUUUCUUUGGCAUGCCUAACUCAGCUUUGAUGUUGCUGAGAUAUUGAUAGUAGAGACACAUGAGACUUCUAGCUCAUGCAUUCUAUCUAGCUCAUCCGACAGCUAUCUCUUUUUUAAUUCAUUAGUGUUUGCUAAACCUCAUGCUUAAAAGUCAUGUUGUUCUAAACAAAGUUUCCUAAGAAUGACUUCCUCAGCACCACAUUUGGACACUUUUAGAGCAAUUUUAUUUGGGGGAAAAGAAUUUUCAAGGUGUUAACUAAUAAAUUUUAAAAAAUAAUUACAAUUUGUCCUACGAUUAUAUGACAAUUUAUCUGGGAUGCAAGGAUACAGACAGACAUCUUCCACUUUCAAGACUAAUCACUACUUCCGUAGAUGUUUUGCAAUAAUACAAAUACUUGACCAGAUGGUAGUGAUGGUAGAAAAAAAUUUUAUUGCUCCAAAAUUAAAAUAAGAAUGCAAUGUGUUAAGCGAAAGACUAUGCAACAUCAAAUUAAUUGAUAAGUUUGUAAUUCAGUAAAUUAACAACUUUCAUGGUAAAAUACAACAAAUUUCUUUUGAAAAAAAUAAAUCUUAAAAGACAACAUUCAAUUUUGUGCGCAUCUUAUUUCUUAAGAUUUUCCAGGAGGGCAAUAGAGGGACUUUCACCCAUGCAAGAGAGCAGAAGCCUUACUUUCGCUAUAAAGUAGACGUCAUUCUGAUUAAUAUGCGUUUGCAAUUCAGCUCCAUUUGAAUCAGUAUUCUGAUAGACACAUGAGGCAUUUACAUCCAUUUCCAAAGUCACAUGUUGCGAGGAGGACUCAUUUGAUUGCUCCUCUAGGAUCAUCUAAUUCAAGUAGCAAGGGUUGGAAGAGAAUAAAAAGUCACAAUUAUUCUUUUGCAUAAGUGAGACGAAAAUGAUAAAUGCAAUAUUAUCAGCAGUAAACAAGAAGAGAACAUUCCAAGGAAUAGAUAGAUGCGGACAAGCAAGUUAAAAUGCAUAGUUCCAAACCUCCGCAUACAACUUCUCUAAAAUAGCAAUAACGUGUUGAUGAUAUGUUUUCUCAGCAUCUACCUGCAAAGGCCCGAGACCAGGAAAACAACAAUAAAACCACUAGCUAAAGGAGAAAGUAAAGAAAGAAAUACACUUGACAUAAAUCUUGACAAGAAGCACAAUUUAAGACAUAACAAACCCCAAUCAUAUUGUUUAGAACUACCACUCAUUAUUUCGUUAUUGUAGCAUUUCGAACAAGUGUUGACUUAUGUAACACCCCAAAUCUAACACGUGUGGAGCACGUGAAGAAGGAGGUUACUCACAAAUCAAUGAUCUAUACUCAUAAGUUUCAAACUGAAAUACCUCUAAUUCUUAUUCAAAUAAAUCCACAAAUCCAAACGUCAAAUACUAAAUAAUCUCUCUCGAGGACAUAUAAAAAUAAUAACAAAAGUCUCAAACUCCAAAUUACACGUUCAUAAAAAAGUAACUAAAUAGAAACACAAGUCUAUUCCUCCUCUUAUUCAAUCGCAAACGGAAACUGGAAAAAUUACUAACUCCAAAGCUAAGCGCACCUCUCAAAAGAAACUUAAUCUGCAAAAAGUAAUGACGAGGGGUGAGCCGUCAACUCGGUAAGUAAAACCAUUUCUAACAUACUAUGCUUAUCGAUACGAAGAUAUUGCAAGCCUUCUUUUGUUUAAAACAUAUAUCAUAAUCCAUAAAUUUUCAUAAAACGAUAUAUCACAUUAACAUAAGAUAAAUUCUUAAUAAUUCAGAAUAUUCAAAAGAAUAUUUACUUACGAAGCAAAUCAUGUAAUACGUAUACAGAAACAAAAAGGUUAGCUCAUGUCACAUAGUGUCACCUAUAGUCCCGGUGACCCGGCCAGAAACAGAAUCAGAAUAUCGUGUGCACACUCAGAACAUAAACCCAGUACUGGUCCAGACAGAUAUAUCAUAUAUUACGAUUAGAAUUAGAAUAACUAUGGACAAUGAGCCAAAACAUUAGGAAUCUCAUUCAAUCAUCAAUAAUUGAAAUCAAACAUGGGUAAAAACAUUCGUAUCAAAUUUAUAAAAGUUCAUAACAAUAAUUUAGGCUUGCAUAACAUUUAUAAAUAAAAUCAUAAAAGUAGGCAUGUAACAAAAUAACUUACAUAUUCAAAAGCAUUUAUAAAAUACUUUGUUAAAGAGAAUUUAGCUUUAAAACAUUUACAUAAAACUAAUUUUGUUAUCAAAAUCAAUUAAUCCUUUAAGCAGUAUAAAAACAUUUAUACUUAUAAUAAUAAUAUCAAAAUACUUAUACAUAUCCAGUAUGCUAGGAAUGAAGUUACUUACCUCGACAAAUGAACUUGAAUUAACCCACCUCUAAGCUUCUAAGAGCCUCAAUCACCUUCAACUCCUUAAACAAAUACAAGAUAUGACAAUUAAUGACUUAUUCUAAGAAUCUGAUUUUCUAAUUCAUACCUGUACAGGUCUGAUUCUCAGAAUUUUAACUCUUAAUCUAAAACUCAGAAUGAUAUAAUAUUCUAUGGAACUAUUCUGGACAUCCAUGAAUACCCCAUGUAAAAUUUACAAGAGGAUCCGAUAUCAAAAACAUUUUAAAAACUAUUUACUACUCAGCAAACUCGAAACUGUUUUCACAUAAUCUAAACCAAACAGAACGGGUUCCGUAAUUUUUAUAAAAUAAAAUACUAACCAGAAAAUUAUAAAAUUAAAACUGGGAAUCCUAGACACAUAUAUUAACCUACAUAUAAACUUUCAGAAUUUUCCGAGUUCAUUUGAUGGUACAAAUAGUCUUGUGAAUCCGAUCGCAAUGCUGGAAUCGCAGUUUUCCAGUGCGGUGGUUUCUGUUUCGAAAAUACAUAUAAAAUUCAAAACGAAAUCGAAUUCAAUGAAAUAAAAUUUAAUCAAGAAUCCCUACAUGUCUAGUUCCCAGAAAUAUAAAUUUUAUAAGAAAAUUCGUUCAGAAAAUAUAGCUUUAAAUUCGAGAUACUCAUGCUGUCCAGAAUUAUCCUGUGCUUAAUACGUCAAUGAUUGAUUAACUAAACUCAUAAUAAAUCAAAACCCUAAACAAGGCCUAAAUAUAUUAUAAACCAUGCAUUAUGAUCUACAACCAUUAGAAUCGUGCCAAUAUAAACUCUAGCUAGAUAGAGUGAUUAGAAAUCUGUUGAGAACAUGGAGAAUAACUUACCCGUCGCUUGAUUCUCUCCUAAACAAAGGUUUGAAUCCUAGGAUUUGGGUAAGAGCGUAAAGAGCAGCAGGGAAGAAGAAUAAACGUUGUGAAUUUAGGGUUAUGGGAGAGAAAAAGUAUGAAUUUAUAGGGAGUCUUAAGAAACCCUAUUUAGUUAGGAAAAAUAACCAUUUUCCCAAAAUUAUCUCAUAAAUAACCUCUUAAUAAGGGUUAUGGGCCACCCAUAAUUCUCAAUGAAAGCCCAAUUUCCAUAACUUAAUAUAUAUGAGAAUUUGUGUAAUUUCCUAUAUUACACAAUCCUGGCUCUGAUACCACAAUUGUAACACCCCAAAUCUAACACGUGUGGAGCACGUGAAGAAGGAGGUUACUCACAAAUCAAUGAUCUAUACUCAUAAGUUUCAAACUGAAAUACCUCCAAUUCUUAUUCAAAUAAAUCCACAAAUCCAAACGUCAAAUACUAAAUAAUCUCUCCUGAGGACAUAUAAAAAUAAUAACAAAAGUCUCAAACUCCAAAUUACACGUUCAUAAAAAAGUAACUAAAUAGAAACACAAGUCUAUUCCUCCUCUUAUUCAAUGGCAAAUGGAAACUGAAACUUAUUAGCUCCAAAGCCAAGCACACCUCUCAAAAGAAACUUAAUCUGCAAAAAGUAAUGACGAGGGGUGAGCCGUCAACUCAGUAAGUAAAGCCAUGCUUAACACACUAGGCCCAUCGAUACCAAAAAUAUUGCAAGCCUUCUUUUGUUUAAAACAUAUAUCAUAAUCCAUAAUUUUCAUGAAACGAUAUAUCACGAUAACAUAAGAUAAAUUCUUAAUAAUUCAGAAUAUUCAAAAGAAUAUUUACUUACGAAGCAAAUCAUGUAAUACGUAUACAGAAACAAAAAGGUUAGCUCAUGUCACAUAGUGUCACCUAUAGUCCCGGUGACCCGGCCAGAAACAGAAUCAGAAUAUCGUGUGCACACUCAGAACAUAAACCCAGUACUGGUCCAGACAGAUAUAUCGUAUAUUACGAUCAGAAUCAGAAUCAGAAUCAGAAUAACUAUGGACAAUGAGCCAAAACAUUAAGAAUCUCAUACAAUCAUCAAUAAUUGAAAUCAAACAUAGGUACAAAACAUUCGUAUCAGUUUCAUAAAAGUUCAUAUCAAUAAUUUAGGCUUGCAUAACACUUUAUAAAUAAAAUCAUAAAAGUAGGCAUGUAACAAAGUAACUCACAUAUUCAAAAGCAUUUAUAAAAUACUUUGUUAAAAAGAAUUUAGCUUUAAAACAUUUACAUAAAACUAAUUUUAUUAUCAAAAUCAAUUUACCCUUUAAGUAGUAUAAAAACAUUUAUACUUAUAAUAACAAUAUCAAAAUACUUAUACAUAUCCAGUAUGCUAGGAAUGAAGUUACUUACCUCGAGAAAUGAACUUGAAUUAACACACCUCUAAGCUUCUAAGAGCCUCAAUCACCUUCAACUCCCGUCGCUUGAUUCUCUCCUAAACAAAGGUUUGAAUCCUAGGAUUUGGGUAAGAGCGUAAAGAGCAGCAGGGAAGAAGAAUAAACGUUGUGAAUUUAGGGUUAUGGGAGAGAAAAAGUAUGAAUUUAUAGGAAGUCUUAAGAAACCCUAUUUAAUUAGGGAAAUAACCAUCUUCCCAAAAUUAUCUCAUAAAUAACCUCUUAAUAAGGGUUAUGGGCCACCUAUAAUUCUCAAUGAAAGCCCAAUUUCCAUAACUUAAUAUAUAUGAGAAUUUGUGGCGUUACAAUUUCUCCCCUCCUAACAAAAAUUUCGUCCUCGAAAUUAAAAGGUUAGCUCAUUGUAACCCUUAAUUACAAUUAAGUAUCUUGCCAGGUCUUGGUUGGGUCAUGACAUUAUGGUAUCAGAGCGGCUCCGCGUGUCCUCUUGAGCGAUGGUGGGGCAAACCUCAGCGAGGACGCUGAGUCCCCAAGGGGGGGUGUAUGUAACACCCUAGGCGAAUCCCACAUCGGCAAAGCACGGGAGAGAUGCUGGGUCAAAAGCAUUUAUAAAAUACUUUGUUAAAGAGAAUUUAGCUUUAAAACAUUUACAUAAAACUAAUUUUGUUAUCAAAAUCAAUUAAUCCUUUAAGCAGUAUAAAAACAUUUAUACUUAUAAUAAUAAUAUCAAAAUACUUAUACAUAUCCAGUAUGCUAGGAAUGAAGUUACUUACCUCGACAAAUGAACUUGAAUUAACCCACCUCUAAGCUUCUAAGAGCCUCAAUCACCUUCAACUCCUUAAACAAAUACAAGAUAUGACAAUUAAUGACUUAUUCUAAGAAUCUGAUUUUCUAAUUCAUACCUGUACAGGUCUGAUUCUCAGAAUUUUAACUCUUAAUCUAAAACUCAGAAUGAUAUAAUAUUCUAUGGAACUAUUCUGGACAUCCAUGAAUACCCCAUGUAAAAUUUACAAGAGGAUCCGAUAUCAAAAACAUUUUAAAAACUAUUUACUACUCAGCAAACUCGAAACUGUUUUCACAUAAUCUAAACCAAACAGAACGGGUUCCGUAAUUUUUAUAAAAUAAAAUACUAACCAGAAAAUUAUAAAAUUAAAACUGGGAAUCCUAGACACAUAUAUUAACCUACAUAUAAACUUUCAGAAUUUUCCGAGUUCAUUUGAUGGUACAAAUAGUCUUGUGAAUCCGAUCGCAAUGCUGGAAUCGCAGUUUUCCAGUGCGGUGGUUUCUGUUUCGAAAAUACAUAUAAAAUUCAAAACGAAAUCGAAUUCAAUGAAAUAAAAUUUAAUCAAGAAUCCCUACAUGUCUAGUUCCCAGAAAUAUAAAUUUUAUAAGAAAAUUCGUUCAGAAAAUAUAGCUUUAAAUUCGAGAUACUCAUGCUGUCCAGAAUUAUCCUGUGCUUAAUACGUCAAUGAUUGAUUAACUAAACUCAUAAUAAAUCAAAACCCUAAACAAGGCCUAAAUAUAUUAUAAACCAUGCAUUAUGAUCUACAACCAUUAGAAUCGUGCCAAUAUAAACCCUAGCUAGAUAGAGAUUAGAAAUAUGUUGAGAACAUGGAGAAUAACUUACCCGUCGCUUGAUUCUCUCCUAAACAAAGGUUUGAAUCCUAGGAUUUGGGUAAGAGCGUAAAGAGCAGCAGGGAAGAAGAAUAAACGUUGUGAAUUUAGGGUUAUGGGAGAGAAAAAGUAUGAAUUUAUAGGAAGUCUUAAGAAACCCUAUUUAAUUAGGGAAAUAACCAUCUUCCCAAAAUUAUCUCAUAAAUAACCUCUUAAUAAGGGUUAUGGGCCACCUAUAAUUCUCAAUGAAAGCCCAAUUUCCAUAACUUAAUAUAUAUGAGAAUUUGUGGCGUUACAACUUAAUUCAACAUUGUUGGAAAGAUAGGCUUUUAGAAGCGGAAGAAAGCCACUCAAACCAAAGUGAUUGUCCUUGUAUUGAUCAAGGGAUGUAAACAUAUUACAUUUGCAGGAUGAGUUUUAAUCACUCCCCUGAUUUAUUUGGGUUGCAAUAAACUAAGCGAGCAACUGUUUGACUUUCAAGCAACAUCUAAAUCAGCUAUUAAAAUUCAAAUAAAAUUAUAAUAGAAUAAUAACAGGCCAUCUUGCAUCAAAAAUUAAGUUUAAUUUGUGAAUUUUUUUCUAUAGACAUGUUAGUUCCUGCUAUUGAAAUGUUAAAAGCAUUGAAAAAUUAUUCAAUAAAUUAUGCAAACAUUAAAAUAGAGGACAUAUUAAAAAGCUUCUAAUUACAAUGUUAAGAUUUCCUAUAUUUUAGCAUUUGCAUAUUUUAAUUUAUUUAAAAGCUACGUCGAUCAACUUUGGGCGUGAAGAUUUUAGCUUCUACGAGACUUGAUUGGAAUAUGCAUAAGGAAGUGUGUUAAAAUAUGAUGCAUCCAACGAAAGACGAACCACGUGUAGUCUUUUAAUUAAGCCAAAGUAGCAGCUCAAACAAAUGACACUUGGACCAACAUGCAAUCAUGAAGUGGCCAGAAAAAGGACAAAUGCAACUUUGGCUUAAAUAAAAAAUAACAUGUGACUUGACUUUUGCUGGACAUGCAUCAUGUUAUUACAAGACAACAGAAAUCAGUAUGAUAGUACUAAAAGUUCACAAUAACAUGAAGAUAAGAGGCAGAAUGUCAACAAAUGCAUAGGCACACACAAGAAAGUAUUAACUUAUAUACCAUAGCAAAAAGUCUUUGAUAUGUCAUCUGUUGCUGCUGUGAUUCAACUGACAGCAUGGCAGCUGUCGCUUCUCUACCAAGAGCCAUUAUUGUAGAUUUAAGCUCGGUCAAUCUUGCUUCUGCAUUUCGAAGCUUCACAGCACUCUCUGCUGAUAUAUCAGAUUCCCUAAUCUUUGAUCGGCGCCUAAAUACUUCAGCUGCCUGGUGAAAAUAUUCAAUGUAAAUCUAACAUAAUUCUAAUCUUGCCUUAUACAUGCAUAUGUUAACUCAAAGCUUACCUGGGCUUCAACUUCAUGUCGAAGUUUGUCAUAACGAUGAGUCAAGAAAAUAUCUUAGAACUAAGUUUCCUUAUGAGAAGAUAAUAGUUUCAGUAGUAAUUUACAUAUAAUUUUCUAUAUUUGAAUUAUUUUCUAGUUAGGGAUGAACUAACCUGCUCACGAAGAAUCCCAAGCAAAGUUUCCCUCUCAUUUUCCAUCAAAUCAUGUGAAGUGCCAAAUUGAAGAGCAGCUCUUGCAACGCAAGAAUUGUCACUUUGAUUCUCCACUCCAUACUUGCAACAAUCUUCGGCCAACUUUCUCGCUACAAUAUUUGAAUACAAAAAUAUUGUACACAAGAACUAGUCAAGAAAAAAAAAAUCAAAUAUUAUAACGAGAGCAAGAGCAAACUAACAACCUAUUUCCAUUUGUUUCAAGCUUACUGCAACAAACACUUCAACGCCACGGACAACAUUCCUCUGAAAAUGCUGCGCUACAGAGCAUAUAUUCCAAAUCAUUGUUCAGAUAAAACCAUACAAACCAUCAUAAUUAUUCAACAUACAUUAAGCUCCGUUUGGUAAAUACUUGCAACUUCAGUCUAGAAAAUACAGUUAAUUUUUAUUUAAAAAACAUCAUAAUUAUCAACAUACAUAUUUGACAAAAUUAUUAUUUAAAAAUCAUAACUAAUUACCAAAAGCCACAAUAAAUCAAUAUCAAACAGAGUCUUAUUAUUAGCUAAAGGAGGAUGGUGCCUUAGCUGCCCUGGUGGAAUUGUAUAGAUUUUGAAGUUGUUGGUGACACUCAAGUUCAGCUUCAUCAACCGCAACAUUUUCAAUGCCAAGAUGGAGCAGAUGCUUCAAUACUGCCUGUACAAACCAUAAAAAACUAAUGAAAAAUAAAUAAAAUCGAGAAAUUUCACUAAUUAAAAAAGAAAAGAAACGGACUUGCUGUUGAAAACAGCAGCUGUGAAGAGUCAAAGAUUGACCUUGAAUCCAAGCUGGCAUGCCACCUAAGCUUCUGUAAUCUACAGCCAGCUGACAUGGAAGAUGAGUCAGGAUUAUUGAGCUGGCAGAACAGCUGUGCUGAAGAAUAUCAGCACAUAAGCAUGGAGCAGCUGAAGCUUCUAGAAUUCUAAAAUGAUUGGCUCAUGAUUGGCAGUCUGACAAAAUUAGUUUUUCUGUGUAAUAUUCUUUAUUAGCUGUCAUUAUUUUCUUGUCUCUAUAUAUACUACAAUUGCUCUGUAAUACGUCAGUUGGGUAAGCAAUAAUAAAAGGAAUACUCUGUCUUGUUCACUCUGCUUGCAAUACUAAGCAAUUCUUUAGAAUUUAAGUUGGUAUCAGAGCCAUCUUUUAGCUAUGGCAAGCAGCAGCGACAAUGAAACAAAUGUUAAUCCAACACAGGUUGAUUCAAGUGAUCAACCAGACGAUUUGAAUCAAAACACUGAGCCACAAAAUCCAGGCCUUAACACCAGAAACACAGCACAAAUAAGUGCAUCACCAACCCAGCAUAUCACCAGCAACACCUAUGUCUUUACUACUCCAAUCAAACUAACUCAAAGCAACUUUAUGCUCUGGAAAUCACAAGUGAUUUCUAGCAUUAGAGCAAAUGAGCUUAAGGGGUUUAUUGAUGGCAGCCAUGUCUGCCCUCCUAAGGUCUUCAUGAGUCCUGGACCAAAUCGAUCCACCAUUACCACACCUAACCCUGAAUACCAGAUUUGGAGGAAACAUGAUCAUAUCCUAUUGAGUUGGCUACUCUCCUCUCUAAGUGAAGGAGUACUAGGCACAGUGGUAGAUUGUUCCACCUCCUGUGAGGUGUGGACAACUCUAGCCAACCAAUUUGGUGCUAGAACAAGGGCAAGAGUCCUAUAUCACAGAACUCAAAUUCAAACUACUAAAAAGGGUUCAUCAACCAUUCACGAAUACUACUCAAAAAUGAAAACUUUAUUGAACUCACUUAGAGCUGCAGGGAAUAGCAUGAAUGAUGAUGAUUUCAUCAUGUGUGUGCUUGCUGGUUUGGGGACAAAAUAUUACUCAGUAGUUACCAACAUCAACUCAAUGCAGGAGAGUCCCUCGAUCUCGGAAGUAUAUGGUAUGCUCUUGAGUCAAGAAAACAGAACUGAGCAAAACUUGAGCUCAGGGAACAUUGAAGCAAACUAUGCUCAAAUGAGGAAUGGAAGAAGGAGCUGGAACAACAGUGAAAGAACUACACAUCAGCAGCUGCCUGGAAUUGUUUUCAGAAAUCCUGGAAACAACCCCACAAAUAACCAAACCAAUCAGAAUCCUCAAGACAAAGGAAAAGGAAAAGCAGUGGCUGAUGACAGUGGUUCUGACCCAAAAGGGCCUUGUCAAAUCUACUGGAAAAUGGGACACACAGCAGCUGAGUGUUGGCACAGAUUCAAGAAGAACUUUGUACCUCAGCCAAACAGAAGAAGAGAGCAGAGAGGUGCUUAUGUUGCUGCAGCUGAAGGUCAAAGUAGUGGAGCUUGGUACCUUGACAGUGGUGCUACAAAUCAUGUGACUAACUCUCUUGGAAAUCUCAGCAUCAACUCUGAAUACCAAGGUAAAAACAAGCUAGCUGUUGGUAAUGGUGAAAAGCUUUUGAUUAGUCACAUUGGUUAUUCUGCUUUGCCCACAUAUGAUCCACACAAGCACAUCACCUUAACUGCUAUACUAUGUGUGCCUGACAUAACCAAAAACCUUAUUAGCAUUUCUAAAUUGCUGCAUGACAAUGAUGUUGAUGUUGAGUUUCAAAAAUCUGUUUGUUUUAUUAAGGACAAGAGACAAGGGAAAAUUCUGGUGAAAGGAGUGGCUAGAGUGGGCUAUAUGAGCUGAUGCACUUACCUGCCAUCCUGAGCAGGAACAAAAAUCCACAUGCUGUUUUGUCUUCUAUUCUGUCAAAUUCAGAGUCAAUGAAUAAUAAUAGUUGUCCAGUGUCCAUGUUGUCUUUCAAUUCAAGUAAUGAGUCCGUCAAAGUUAGUGUCGAGCCAAAUAUAGCUGAUGAGUCAAGAAGCAACAAUCUGCAAGCUGCUGAAGAAACUGAUGUGUGGCAUUCCAGACUAGGACACCCUAGUACUUCAGUCCUGAAAAACACCUUGUUAUCUUGUAAUCAGCUCAAAAUUAAUAAAGAUAUUGUUCCUUCAUUUUGCUCAGCAUGCCAAUAUGGAAAGCAAUCAAAACAAUCUUUCAAAAGCACUGAAACCAAAACUAAGACAGCCCUUGAACUGAUUCACACAGACCUUUGGGGACCAGCACCAAUUCUAUCCACUCAUGGACACAGAUAUUACAUCUCCUUUGUUGAUGACAGAACAAGAUACACAUGGCUCUUCCCUUUAGCAACCAAGUCUCAAGCUCUUGAAACCUUCAUUACCUUUAAAAAUCAGAUCGAAAAAUAAUUGAACCUAACAAUCAAAGCACUACAAACAGACAUGGGAGGAGAGUUCAGAGCCUUUGAACCAUAUUUGAAAAGAGAUGGAAUAACUCUAAGGCAUUCAUGUCCAUACUUACAUGAACAAAAUGGCAAGGUUGAGAGAAAACAUAGACACAUUGUGGAGACUGGACUUGCCUUACUUGCCCAAGCCAAAAUGCCCUUAAAAUUUUGGCAAGAAGCUUUCGGCUAUGCUAUCUUCAUUAUCAACAGACUUACCUCACCUGUGCUAAAGAACAAGACACCAUUUGAGUUAUUGUAUUCUUUCAAACCAGAUUAUACACAAAUUAAAAUCUUUGGCUGUGAGUGUUUUCCAUUUCUUAGACCAUACAACAGACACAAAUUUGAUUUUCACACUUCCAAAUGCAUCUUAUUGGGGAUCAGCAGUGCUCACAAAGGUUAUGUUUGUAUGAACAGUUCAGGAAGAGUUUAUAUCUCAGCUAGUGUCAAAUUCAAUGAAAAAUCCUUUCCUUUCGAAAAUGAUUCUAGCUUUAGGAAACAAGAGUCAGUAAAGGAAGGUGAUGAAAUUGCCUUACUUGAAAAAUUCCAGGUUGUGUCAUUCUCUGUCAACAAUCCCCAUGGUCUCACACAAGUGGCAACAUCUCAUAGCAACUCUCCAGACACUACUGGAAACACAGAAUGCAUCCUAAGUCCAGUCCAGAAUGAAAUGCAAUAGGUAAAUGAUACUGACACAAUAUCAGGUAGCCUUUCAACUCACAGUCCACCUCACAUUACAGAAAUAAACAGCCAAAACCUUCCCACACAAAAGGCCUUGCCUUCACACCCCAUGGUAACAAGAUCCAAGGCUGGGAUCUUCAAACCAAAGCUGUACCAGGUUUCCAGUAAACCACAACCUUCUCUUCCCAAAAACACAUUUGAGGCUUUGAAGGAUCCCAAGUGGAGAAAGGCAAUGAAGGAUGAGUAUCAUGCAUUGAUGAAAAACAAAACCUGGACCUUGAUACCAAACAACCAAAAUUGCAAAUUGAUUGGAAAUAAGUGGAUCUACAAAGUAAAGGAAAACUCAGAUGGCAGCAUCAACAAGUACAAGGCCAGAUUAGUAGCAAAGGGAUUCUUACAAACUCCAGGACUUGAUUUCAAUGAAACUUUCAGCCCUGUUAUUAAGGCUGCAACUAUUAGAAUCAUCCUAACCAUGGCAGUAAGCAAUGACUGGUUGCUUAGGCAAGUGGACAUAAACAAUGCCUUCUUGAAUGGUGACCUGACAGAGGCAGUAUACAUGCCACAACCUGAGGGUUUUGAAGACAAGAACAGACCAAGCUACAUUUGCAAACUGGAAAAGGCUUUGUAUAGAUUGAGGCAAGCUCCGAGAGCAUGGUUCGACAAACUAAAAGGUGCCUUGAGUUCUUGGGGAUUCAAAAAUUCCAGGAGUGACACAUCUUUGUUUUUCAGAAGAAUUGAAUCAAAGAUAGUCAUCAUGCUCAUAUAUGUAGAUGACAUUAUAAUCACUGGAAGUGACAGUCAAGGCAUUGAGGAAGUCAUUAAAGAUCUGAACACAUCCUUUGCUCUGAAGGAUCUCGGAAAUUUGAAUUUCUUCCUUGGGAUACAAGUUCUAAGGAAUCAAAACUCUAUCCUACUCUCUCAAGCAAAAUAUAUUCAAGACUUGUUGGCCAAAACAGAAAUGACAGACUGUAAAGGAAUAGAGACACCCUUCAGCACUUCUGAGAAAUUGGAAAAGGAUGCUGUGAAUAGAUUCCACGAUCCCACACUCUAUAGAAGCAUCAUAGGAAGCCUGCAAUAUACAGUAUUGACCAGGCCAGAGCUUGCUUUCUCAGUUAACAAGCUCAGUGAGUUCAUGUCUGAUCCUAGACAGCCACAUUGGGUAGCAUGCAAAAGAGUGCUGAGAUAUCUCAAAAACACAAUGAAUAUGUGUUUAAGUUUCAAAAAAUCUGAACAUCUGGAUCUCAUUGCCUAUACGGAUGCAGAUUGGGCAACUGAUCCAGAUGACAGAAGAUCCAUAAGUGGAUACUGUGUGUACUUGGGAGAUAAUCUGGUUGCUUGGAGCUCGAGAAAACAAGGCAUAGUAGCAAGGUCAACAGCUGAAUCAGAAUAUAGAGCAAUGGCUCUAUGCAGCACUGAAAUCACAUGGAUUAAUUCUCUACUUGGUGAGUUGAAGAUGGAUGUUGAAAAUAUACCAAUUAUCCUAAGUGACAGCACCAGUGCAGCAGCCAUAGCAGCAAACCCAGUCUAUCACUCCAAAACAAAACAUUUCGAGAUAGACCUUUAUUUUCUCAGAGACAAAGUUACAAAGGGAGAAUUGGAAAUAAACUAUAUUGGCAGCAAUGAUCAAAUUGCGGAUGUGCUGACCAAGCCAUUACCACAUCACAAGUUUAGCUGUUUUAGAAGCAAACUCAAAGUCAUUGACAAGACCUUGAGUUUGAGAGAGGGUGUUGAAAACAGCAGCUGUGAAGAGUCAAAGAUUGACCUUGAAUCCAAGCUGGCAUGCCACCUAAGCUUCUGUAAUCUACAGCCAGCUGACAUGGAAGAUGAGUCAGGAUUAUUGAGCUGGCAGAACAGCUGUGCUGAAGAAUAUCAGCACAUAAGCAUGGAGCAGCUGAAGCUUCUAGAAUUCUAAAAUGAUUGGCUCAUGAUUGGCAGUCUGACAAAAUUAGUUUUUCUGUGUAAUAUUCUUUAUUAGCUGUCAUUAUUUUCUUGUCUCUAUAUCUACUACAAUUGCUCUGUAAUACGUCAGUUGGGUAAGCAAUAAUAAAAGGAAUACUCUGUCUUGUUCACUCUGCUUGCAAUACUAAGCAAUUCUUUAGAAUUUAAGUCUUGCUGCUGCUUGGCGACUUGUUCUCGGAGCUUGAUUGCCUGUUUCUUGAUAGCUUCCAUACUGUUUCUUUCAAAAAGCGACGACGGCUCAGCUCAUGGAGGUGGAAAAAAAAAAGUGUGAUCGAGAAAAAUAAAAAGGCAUGAAUAAUUUUUGAAAAAAAAGCGAAAAUCAAGGAAAGCCAGCUCUUUCCAGAAAAUAAAAAAAGAAAAAAGAAAAUUAUAAGUUUGAAAGGAGAAGAUGAUAGUGGAAGUGUGCAGUGUGGCUGCCAGCUACUUGGAUUGUAGAGAAUUUUUUUUUUGUGGACAGAGCAUGACAUUAGACUUUUGUGGACCAAAUUCAAAAGCCGAAUGGCAUGGCCCAGAAGCUUUUGAAUACAAUAACUUGCUAGAAAGCUCCAUUUUUUAUUCUUCUUAUAUUUUACGCUUGUAUCAGCCUCAAUCACUUCUUAAUCGCUUGCUUUAACUGCAUCGCUCUCUCUGUGCUCUUCUAUAUAUGUAACAGUUAUGCGGUUGUAGUUCACGACUGAGGCUACGUGUUGGUUUGACGUGGCAGUUACGUUACAAGGGGAUAAAUAAGAUUGGUUGCAACAAACCCACUAAUUUUAUAAAAUUCGAGUAAUAUAGAAUAAAAUAAAAAAUAAAUACAAAAUUGGCUUUUAUUUUUUAUGGUUGACUGUAUUUUGUGUUCUCUUCCGGCACUACUACAAUUGUUACCUAUAUAUCAGUCACACCCAUAUAUCAUUAACACAAGAAAUGAAAUCUAAUGUCACCUAUUUAGUUAAAGAAUCACUCAUGAAAUUUUUUUACCUUUUUCAUUUGAGGAUCCAUAUUUUGAACUGCAAGUUAAUGUUCAUCAAGAAUCACUAAUGUUCAUAAAAAUCCGAGUAUGGCCGUUGAGUAGAAAAAUUAUUUUUGGACAAAUUAUUUUUGUUGAUAGAAGAAUUUCUUAAGGGACUACUAAAAUUAUUAAUAAAAAUGUAGAACACACCCACAUAUCAUCAACACAAUUGACUUUGAGGAUCCAUGCUUUGAACUGCCGCCUAAUGUUCAUCAAGAACAGAGUAUGACUUGUGAGUAGAAAAUUUUAUGAUUUUGGCCCGAAAUAAAAAGAAAUUAAAUUAGAUGAGAAUCUGCCACUUUCUCAUGAAGAAAGGCAUACGGAGCAUACCAUGGUACCAUACAAUACAAAGAGUCUCCGUUCUCUGGUUUUUCAAACUAUAAAGGGGCCAAUAUUCCCGAAUUCUCCCUUGAAAAUUCUGAUUACGACAUUAUUCAUCGCUUGACGCAAUCAAAGUAGCGACAAAGUUAAGAAAAAUAUGAGUCCUAAGCAAUUGCUAGGUAGGGUUCCUGAGAGUAAAAUUGUCCUAAGCAUUAUAUGCAUACAUGGUGUGGUACAUAGAGCACGUUGAAUUCCACACUAUAACACAAACCUAGAAAGACAAGUAAUAACUCAACUGAUAUAAAGACAAAAAGAAGAUAAAAUGAUAUAGAAAAAAGAAUUUCAAAGAGACAGCAACAUACGAUAGACUGAAGCCACUUGAUCUGCUCAUUGAUUGCAGCCUUAAACUUACAAAUAAUUACCGUACGCUAGUGCUCUAAGAAGUGAAAAUGAUGCAAGCCCUGAUUCCCUUUUGACUUCCAUUUACUGUCAAACAUUCUAGUAAUACAAAAAAUUGUUUAAAUAUCUUGCUAUAAAUAUAGCCGUUUGACUGUCAUAAUAAAGUCACAAAUAACCAUUCAUAUUGAAAUAUCUUGCUAUAAAUAUAACCAUUCCUUAUCAAUACAUUUGGCAAAAACUUAAGAAGAAAACUAUUUCUCCAUCUCUUUUUUGAAAUUUCACAAUAAACCAGCACAUUAUGAAAGCUAUGUUCUAAUCUUAUGAUAAAUGCUCUAGACUCCAAAAGGACUUUAUAUAUGAGAGUUUGUUGCAGCAGAUAUAUUGACUUAUCAAGUAUGAAUCAUUGUCUGGAUGAACUAUCUUUAAAUAAAAGAACAUUAGAACCACUGUAGAAUAUCUUUACGCUGCUGGUUCUAACAGGAAUCUGCAUGUGGCAACAAUUGCUAGAUCCACAAUUCCCCAACUUGAAAUACAUAGUUGCACACCAUGAGAUAGUGCUACAAUCUACUGAGAUCUAACUUAUAUGAUACUUUAUGCUACUAAUUGCAUAUUUUUACAUGUUAAAUUAACACUAUCAUCUAUAAUCACUCCAAAAUGACAAAUGAUAAGCAGCUUUUGGCUAGUUAUUACUAGCAUCCACAAUUAUAAAUAAGAGAUCAUGGGUUUACUUGUUGCACCUACUUAAUGAUCUGCAGUUGAGACCCUGACGCAAGGUUUAAAUAGUGACUGCUUAGAACCCUUGUAGUUGGAUCUUGACCUCUCCCAUUUUAGCCAAGAUUGGCUACUCUGGUAAUGAAUCAACACUGUCCUGCUCAGGGCCAUGAAGAUCUGGAAGCUCAGCACUAGUGGAGAACUUCACCAAUCUCUUCUUCUCAGCAUACUUGAGACAAGGCUGCAUUACGAGACCAAUCACCACAGCACCAACGAUUAAAACUGCAACUUUUAAAGUAGAAAGAGCCAACACAACACAAAUCAAUAUGGUUGGAGGAAUACAUAUGAUAAUGGCUCCAACAGUGCCAGUGGGUAUCUUGUAAGGACGAGAUAAAUAGUAGAGAAGUUUUUAAGAAGCUAGAACAGAGCAUGUUAGACUUUUGUUGACCAAAUUCAAAAGCCAAAUGGCACAGCCCAGAAGUUUUUGAAUAGAAUAACUUACUAGAAAGCUCCAUUUUUUGUUGGCUACAGUAAAAGGAUGUUGUUUUGUUCUUCUUAUACUUUACGCCUGCAUCAGCGUAAAUCACUUCUUAAACGAUUGCUUUAACUGCACCGCUUCGAGUCUGUUAAACAUUCGGUGAUAAGAUUAGUUACAACAAACCUACUAGUUUUAUAAAAUUCAAGUGAGAUGGAAUAAAAUAAAAAAAUAAAUAUAAAAUUGGCUUUUAUUUUUUAUGGUUGACUGUAUUUUGUGUUCUCUUCGGGCACUACUACAAUUGUUCCCUAUAUAUCAGUUACACUCACGUAUCAUCGACACGAAAAAUGAAAUCUAAUAUCACCUGUUUAGUUAAAGAAUCACUCAUGAAAAAAAAUUACCAUUUUGAUUUGAAGAUCCAUAUUUUGAACUACCAAUUAAUGUUCAUCAAGAACAGAGUAUGGCCGUUAAGUAGAAAAACUAUUUUUGGACAAAUUAUUAAAUUCCAAUAUUGUAUCGAUAUGCAAACGAUGCCUGAAGCAUAGCCUCCAAACAAUGAUCAGGGCACAAAACAAGAGUGUAGUAAUCAAGUGUAUUGUCUCAUAAUCAAUUAAAAGCAGAUAUACAGGAUACCAUAUUCAAUUCCAAAAUAACAAAAGCAUAAUGAGGAUGAGAAGAACAAUGCAAGAUUUGUUGUUGUUUUAGUUGCUUCUAAUAUUUUUUAUGACGCACAUCUAUUGAAUUAAGAGAUUUCUAUAAUCAGUGCCGCAGUACUGAAAAUAAACUACUUGUCAGUCAAAUAGCUGAGUAUUUCUAUGAGAAUGCCAUUAUUAAUGACCGACUUUUUCCAGAUUCUUGGACAAACAUAAGAGACUAUUGUGCUUAGUUAAAACGAUCACUCAAAUAUGAUUUCUCCACUUUGGUUGUCAAUUAUCUAUUCAAAUUAAUCAGUGUCAUAAUCGACUUAUUUAUUUAGAAGAGCGGGUGAUAAAUAUAUUUAAUAAUGUGAACAAGAAGUUGAUCAACUUUUAUGAUCAUUUGGAAGGUCGGCGUGUCAUCACUCGUCAAACACAUUGCAUCGAUCCACCAGCAUGAACCGACCGGAUUAUGCCCAAAAGUUGAAAUAUCAAUAAAAAAAAAUUAAUUAAAGGUCGAAGAUGGGUCCUUUACAUAUGUUUUUGUUUUCGUAUUAGGUAGGAAGUUACUAUAUUAUAUCAUGUAAUUAAUUUAUUAUUGCUCAACAUUAAGUAAUAACUUAACUAUAUAAAGACAAAAAGAAGAUAUAAAAAAAAAAGAAUUUCAAAGAGAUAGCAACAUACAAUAGAUUGAAGCCAUUUGAUCUGCUCAUUGAUUGCAGCCUUAAACUUGUAAAUAGUUACUGUACGCUAGUGCUCUAAGAAGUGAAAAUGAUGCAAACCCUGAUCCCCUUUUGACUUCCAUUUACUGUCAAAUAUUCUAUUCAUACGAAAAAAAUGUUUAGAUAUCUUACUAUAAAUAUAGCCGUUUGACUGUCUUAAUAAAGUCACACACAACCAUUCUUAUUAAAUUAGUAAGAUCAAACACUGCCCUGGAUCUUGAAGAGAUCAACACAAGUUGCACAACUUACGAUUGAAUCCGGCCAGAAACAAUCAACUCUUUAGCAAGAACAAUUAAUCAGAGCAAGAAACAAGUUUAAUGAAUAUAAACCUAUAAUUGAAAAUUUGAAACAAACAUAGCCAAGAAAAAAAUACAGAUUUUACACGGUUCAGUUGUACCUAGGAUGGCACAACCUACACCACGAGAGAAGCUUUCUGGUGAGAUUUUAUUGAUGAUCAAAGAAGAAUCUUUUGACAAAGCUGAUAAUAGAGAUUUCAGAGAAUAAGCCAUAACCCUCUCUCCCUCUUCAAUCUCUCUCUAUUUUGUUCCCAUUGAUGACCCCAAUCUGCUUAGUUAUCCAGCUUUAUAGCUGCAUCAGUAACAAACCAGCAAACCCAGAUUGAGCAGAUUAACGACACGUGGAUAACGGCUUUAACGAACCUGGUUAAGAACUGCUCACAUUUUCGUCACGCGUACUGCUUAAAUGAUGGCCAAAACGACUUCAAACAAAUGUCGUUUUGAGGCUUAUGAAUUACAAGUGAUAACACGAGCUUGUCUCAUGACUUUUAAAUGCAACAACGUGCCCACAACGCCGUCGUUUUACUCUGUUGAGUUUGAUUCAUUACUAAGCUUUACGACUGGCAAUGGAGAAGAUGAUAAUUUAAUUGACAUGGACAGUUUUUAUAUCACUUUUACUUGCAAUUGUAAUAUUGAGAAUUAUUGAUGUUUUAUAUGUGAAUCCUCAUUGGCAAAAACUAGUGGUUUUAUCUUUGUUGAAAUGUAGAUGACCUCUCGUUACUAUUUUAUUAUAAACAUAUAGUUUCGUAAGAGAAACUAUAUGUUUAUAAUAAAAUUAACAUAUAGUUUCGUUACAUUUCUGCCUCAUUAAGAUUCUCAAAUACCAGUCAGGUUUGCUUAAGGAAUAAAAUUUUUUCAUUAAAAUUGCAGUAGUAUUUCCAAGCAUAUUGCAUUUUCUAUGAUUUUUCAUAAAUUAAUUAAUCUGCGGUGCCAAUAUCAGAUUUAGUUUUUCAAACUAAAUAAUCAAGAAAGCAAACAUACAAAUAUACAGUUUAGAGGGGUAAACUAGGUAGGUGGUUUAGAUUUUAGAACUAAGCCAGCUACCUCGCUAAAUUCCGAUUCGUACAGUGAACUGCAAGAAAUUGAGAAAACAAUGUAUUUAUAACUUAAUAGAAUCAUAAGAAAACAAUGUAGUCAUUGCUCAAUAUAAGAUGAUUUCGGAGAGGCACAUUGUUUUCAAGUUAAUUUGAUCCGUUUAUGAGAGAUGAAGUGGAAUGAAGUUGAAAGUUUCCUGACAUGUACAGUAGAUGAAGUUGUUGCUCCUUUCUUUGGAUUAUUUCAGCUCCGGUUGUUGGUCACCGAUGAGCCGGAGUCUUAUUUUAAUUUUAUUUAAACUCAUCAUAAGAUUCGUGGAGCACCUAACUAACUUAACUGACUGUGCAGAGCAUGUCAACAUUGCAUAUUUAACCAUCAUUCAAGUGAUGGGUUUAAUAAGACUGCUUUUGUUCUAUCAAGUUCCUCCGCCUCUAAGCAGAAUUACUAUUGAAGAGCCAAAAAGAAAAUGAAAACGUGUGAACCCCAACAACCACCCCACAAAUUCAAUGACGAUGCUAAGAGAGGGUUAGGCUGGGCCUCUGAGAAAAAACAUUUAUUUAGUUAAAAAAUUACCCUUAUUGAAACCUGUAUAAAAAUUUAUAUUAGUUAGUUAUGUUGCCUCUUCAACUAUGAUCAAAUUCUUAUCCGAGCUCAUCAUUUAAUGAGUAAAAGUGUAUUUUAAUGAUCUCAGUUAAUAUUUAGAACAAAUAUUUUAAGAAGUAAAGCUUAUUAUAUCUCCCAUCAUUAGGUAUCUCUUUAAUUUCUUAUUUACAAAAUUAUAUUGUACAUUAAAAAAAUUCAACUCACUCAAAAAAAAAAAAAAUGCUGGUAGCUUCGUAAUAAUUACUGUAUUAUUGACUGCACAAGAUAAAGUUUUGUAAAAUAAUAAGUUCUCAUUAGUGGUUUUUAAUUUUUUUAAUUUUUUUUUCCGGCACACCUGAUCAAGAAUUCUAUUUUGUUAACUAAUCAAUUGCAAAGCAUAAAUGUUGAACAGUACAAAAAAUUUGAAAAAAGACACUUAAAACGUGGGGUGAAAACACUUCUGUCUAAUUUCCGUUAGUGGAUUUAACGGAAUGUUCACGAAAUUACAUUUUUACCUCUCAAAAUUACAAUUUAACCCAAAAUAAAUGGAAAUUGCAGAUAAAUUGGAUGGAUUUAAUUUUUUUCAAAGGUGGAUGCUAGAAAUUGGAGGAAAAUAGUGUUUGUUGCUUGCUAAAUUUAGAAAAUUUGUAUUUAUUUUUUUGAAAGAGAAAAAAUAAAUACAAAUUUUCUAAAUCUAGCAAGCAACAAACACUAUUUUCCUCCAAAAAAAAAUAAAUACAAAUUUUCUAAAUUUAGUAACAAACAUUAUUUUCCUCCAAUUUCUAGCAUCCACCUUUGAAAAAAAUUAAAUCCGUCCAAUUUAUCUCCAAUUUCUAUUUAUUUGGGGUUAAAUUGUAAUUUUGAGGGGUAAAAAGGUCAUUCCGUUAAAUUUGCUAACGGAAAUUAGACGUAAGUGGACGAAUGCAACAAAAAGCAAGCUUCGGGUGGCGCGUUGAAAAUAAAAAGUGUUUGUCUAUUUUUGAAAAAGACAAAACAAACAGGUGGACGGUUGUAAAUUUUCCUAAUUUUUAUAUCACUUUUACAACGUCCUAUAUAAUUGUAGUAUUAGGAAUUAUUGGUGUUCUAUAUGUGAAUCCUUAUUGGCAAAAAUUGAUGGUUUUAUCUUUAUUGAAAUGUGGAUGACCUCUCGUUACUAUUUUACUUAGACAACUUUAUUCUCAGGAGAUUUUGUCAUUGAAAUUAACAUGUAGUUUCGUUACAUUUCUGUUUAUUAAGAUUCUCAAAUACCAGUCAGGUUUGCUUAAGAAAUAAAAUUUUGCCAUUAAAAUUGUAGUAGUAUUUCCAAACAUAUUGCAUUUUCUAUGAUUUUUCAUAAAUCAAUUAAUCUGUGGUGCCAAUAUUAGGUUUAGUUUUUCAAACUAAAUAAUCAAGAAAGCAAACAUACAAAUUCACAGUUUAGAGGGGUAAACUAGGUAGGUGGUUUAGAUUUUAGAACUAGGCUAGCUACUUCACUAAAUUCUGAUUUGUACAGUGAACUGCAAGAAAUUGAGAAAACAAUGCAUUUAUAGUUUAAUUGAAUCAUAAGAAAACAAUUUAGUCAUUGCUCAAGAUGAGAUGAUUUCGGAGAGGCACAUUGUUUUCAAGUUAAUUUGAUCCGUUUACAAGAGAUGAAGUGGAAUCAAGUUGAAAGUUUAAAUAACAAAUCCUUGUUCUUGAGUUUUACGACGUCUUUGCUCCUUCCAAGUGGCAGAUUAUAUAAACUAAUCAACACUAAAUUGAUUAUGUUUUGUAUGUUUAUAUGCUAAUCAACACGAAAUUAUAUUAAAUGAAGAAAUGCUUCAAUUUUUUCUAAUUUAGUUUAGAAAAUUAAUUAAUUAACAUUAAUAUUCCUAAUAAAAAUUAUUUUCCAUCAGUAUUCAAAAUUUUCACUUAUAGAAAAUGCAUUUUACGUGAAUACUAGCUAUUGUGUAAAUUUGAAUGAUAGCGAAAAAUAAACCUAUUUGAAAACUUAGAUGACCAGCUAAAUAAACCUAUUUGAAAACCAUUCGGCCAACUCCCCAGGGCAAAAAUACGAGGUCCUUAUUUACAUAAUAUACAUGAAUUGAUGUCAUUUAUUAGAAUUAUCCAAAUUCAUCAGAGGUAAAACUGUAAAAUAUAGCAAAAGAAUUAGAAGGGUGUGUUGGGAUAUUUUAUUUAGUUAAAAAAAUUACCUUUAUUGAAACCUGUAUAAAACUUUUAUAUUAAUUACUUAUGUUGCCUCUUCAACUGUGAUCAAAUUCUUAUCAAGCUCAUCAUUUAAUGAGUAAAUGCGUAUUUUAAUGAUCUCAAUUAAUAUUUAGAACACAUAUUUUAAGAAGUAAAGCUCAUUAUAUCUCCCAUUAUUAGGUAUCUCUGUAAUGUAUUGAAUUAGAAGAAAAAAAAAUUCAACUCACUCAAAAAAAAAAAAAAAUGCUGGUAGCUUCGUAAUAAUUACUGUAUUGACUGCACCAGAAAAAGUUUUGUAAAAUAAUAAGUUCUCAUUAGUGGUUUUUAAUUUUUUUAAUUUUUUUUUCGGGCACACUUGAACGGUACAAAAAAUUUGAAAAAAAAACACUUAAAACGUGCCAAGUGUGAAAUUUACGACAAUAAUUACUUUUGAUGCUUGGAAUCAUUUAAUUUCUAGCCGUAUUGACUCCACCAGAUGAAGUUUUUAAGAUAACAUGUUCCCAUUCUUUAUUUUUUUUAUUUUUAAAUGUGCUUCUAAUAAUUUAUAGAAGAAUUUAUGAUUUCCCAUUAGCAUUAUCAUUGAAGGGGGUUGGGUCAAAUAUCAGUUGCUUGAAGAAUUUAUUUAUUAUUAUUGUAUUGAAGUAGGAUGGGUAACGGUUCACUCAAUUCGUUAGGAAUUAAAUAUAGAAAUGAGAAAUAGAGAAAGAAUGGAAGAAAGUUAAGAUAUGAAAGAUCUGCAGUGAAAUUGAUAAUCAUGUUUCUAUUUCGUUAACUAAUCAAAAGGAAAACUGAAACUGUAAACAAACAUUAACACGUGUGGACUCUGCCAGCUGCCCUACAAGUCUACAAUAAUAAUUGAGUACCUUUGAUUCAUCCUUCUAUGAAUUUCUAGCUGUAUUGACCCCAACUGCUAAAGUUUUGUAAAAUAAAAAAAAAAAAAAAACUGGAAUUUCAACAAAAUUCAAAACGUGUGAAAUUUAAUUUUUGGCCAUGUGGAACAAAAUGUAAAUUACGGAAAAAGUAUAAAUCUCAAUUGCUUAGUAUGGUUAGGUUUUGUGAGCAUCACUAAAAAGUGAAAACUAUGAAUGAUAGAGGUGAUGUUUGCAACAUGAAUAAACGAUGAACUGAAUCAAUUGAUGAUCGUAAUUAUAUAAUGAACAAAAUUUACAAAAUCAACAAAAGUUAAUAAAAAUUUAUUUUAAUAAUAAAAAAUAAUAAAACUUAUUAUUUAACGGCGCUCUAACCAUGGAGUGCCAUAAUCAUAUUCUUCUUUUAAGAAAAUUAUAACUUAUUUCAAAUAGCACCAUAACAUAAUUCUAGAUAUUUAAAAGAAAAGCAUUAUCCACCUGAAAUGACUUGAAGUCUAAAGAAAAAGAGAGAGUGGCUCCCCACAAUUUUCUUGUUUUCAGUAUAUUUUCUUUUUUUUUUCUUUUUAAAAUCUUUUGACGCAUACAUAAUCUACCCUUGUUCAUUAUCUCUAUUUUGCUCUGUUCAAGUCCCUUUUUUUUCAAAUCUUAGUUUAAAUAAGAAAAUUGAAUAAAAGUACAUUUGUGUAAUUAAUUAGUAUCUGUUUUUUUUUUGGGGGGGGAGGAUAUUUGGUGUAAUGUUUUGCUAUGUAAGACUCAGCUAUUAUUAAACAGUUCCUUAACCUGUUUCGCAGUUUAUUUGCUAUCUUUGUGGAUCUCAUAGGCGUUGCAGAAUUUAAUAAUUUUAUUCGUCAGAAGAAUAGGAUAUUGGCUUCAAUAAAUUUAAUUUAAACCAACUUUUAUUUACUCCAUCAAUUAAUUAAUGCCAUUUGGUUUUGAAAAAUUCAAUAAUUAAAUUCUCACGUUUUAUGUGUUUGAAGUUAAAUUAUUCAUUAACUAGAACUCUGUUCAAAAUUGACUGUCUUGUGGUUCCCAAAUGUAGUUGUAAUAUUGAAUGAAAGUAAAAACUUUCUAUGGCGAGUUUAAAUCUAAAUCUGAACAAUGAAUUUUGACUUUCUCAAUACUAUCCUAAUUAUGAAAAUUAUAUUAAUUGAUUUAUUGUUACAGUUACUAGCCUUUGAAAAUGGAUGGAUUUAUUGUUUCCGUGACCAAAUUAUGCCUGCCUAACGCUGCAACUAUUAAAAAAAUUAAUAUUUAAUGCACAUGUUAAAAGAUUUAAAAUUUUAUGCAUUUAUUAAUUGUUAUAAUCUAAAAGAAAAUUAAUUAAUUCAGGUCAAUCUGAGUUGGUGCAUCUGCAGGAGCCUUUUUUUUUUUUUUCCGUUUAUUGACCAUAAAUGCAGUAAUAUAUACAUUUCAAUAUGUUGACACACUCUGGCCAGAGAAUUCUAUGAUCAAGUGCCGAAAACCCAUCAAGAGAUGUGUUGUACAAAUUCUAUAUUGUUAAUCCAUAACUCCAAUACUCAUAAUUGCUCCCACCAAGAUACUGGGUAAUCUUGACCACAAGAAUGUGUCGUGCCCAUUGGUAACUCAAAUGGAAUAACAAUUACAAUCAUGAAAUCAUAAUUAACACAAGAUUAAGAUUACAGUAAAAUCAAUGCCUAUGAGAUUUAAUAAGUUUGACAGUCAUUUCAAUGUUAAUUAAAUCUCAUAUGUGAUCCUGUUCAAUGUAGUCGUACUUCAUUAAUAAAUUCAUACAUGAUUAAGACAAAUCAUUCAAUGAAUUCAUUACAGUCUAUACCUAAAUAAAGUGCCCAACUUUAUUUAUCAACUGCGAACUAAAUUUAGUUAAUCAUAAGAUAACUUAUAUUUAUGUCUUUUGUGAAUCCACAUGGUGAUCACAUAAAUGCAUAUAAUAUGAUUAAAUGGACUUUGAUCAAAAUAUUAAUGUAAUUAAGAUAUUUGAAUAAAAUACCUCAUUAAUUUUAUUAAUCAGAAAAAAUGUUUAUUAUAAUUAAAUAAACACAUAUGCUUUUAAAGAGCAUAUUUUCCCAACAUUCUAUCUGUCAAUUUCAUCUAGAAGUCCCUCUGAAAACAUCUCCCAAAACAGUUAGUCAUCUUUUAUGCUCUGUUUUCUAGAAACAGAGUCCUAACUAAAUUGAUUGACUGUACAGUGCAUUUCAACAUAGCAUAUUUAACCGUUUUAACUGUUAUUUGAACCGUCUUCAGAGUUAACAUCAACAAACUCAUUCAUAUUGGUCCAAUCUUACGGACGAUAUCAUAUGCUUAAUAAUGAACGAAUAGUCUUGGAUCAGUGUUUUGCAGCAAGAGCAACUCGACACAAUCUGGAUUCAACCUCCUCCUAUCUAACAAGGGAUUUCUAUUUGAGUUACUUUGUGCUCAAGCAAUUAAAUUCACAUCAUAUUUUGAUUCUUUAGAUAUGAAUUCAUCACAUUACAUAUAUCAGAUUAAGUGUAACAAAAUUUUUAAUUUACUGCGAAAAGAAUAUGCACUAAAAAAUGAUUUCAAGACUAUUUGACUACAAAAAGCAGCUGUCAGAGUGCACUAAAAAUUUCUGUAGGAUAUUUUGUAGCUGUUUAAUAUGUUAUGAUGGGCAUAUAAUUCUCAAAUUUUGAUGCCUCUCAGCGAAAAUAUAUCAAAGUUACGGAUGAUAUCACGUAAAACAUGCAUGGCUCAGGCUCAGGCUCAGGCUCAGGCUCAGGUAAGAAAGCCACAGAAAAGGAAAAUCUCAGUGUCACGACUCACGUCACGCAUCAUUCAAGUGAUGGAUUUAACAAGACUGCUGCUUAUGUUCUAUCAAAUUCCUCUGCCUCUCAGAAGAUAACUUUUCUGGGCCAAAUUUCUCAUCUAAAGUAUAUUAUGCCCCAAAGUCACAGAUAACAAAAUGGGGCACUACCGAUUAUGAAAGAGAACUAGUAGAUCUCAGAAGCCUAGGUCAAAUUCCAGUAGUAAGAAGAGGUCUUUCUUGAGUUUAGAUUAUGUGUUCGAGUUUUAAUAAAUGCCUAAGUUAUUAAUAAUAACAACAGUAAUAAUAAACUAAAAAGCAUAAUUACUAUUGAAUGGUAAAAAAAAAAAAAUGAAAAUGUGUGAACUCCAAUAACCACCCCAGUGGCGAAUUUUGGAGAGGGCUAGGCCGGGCUUCUUAGAAAUUAUUUUUAUUUAAUUACAAAAUCACCUUUAUUGAAACCUAUAUAAAAUUUUUUAUAUUAAUUAAUUAUGUUGCCUCUUCAAUUAUCAUUAAAUUCUUGUCCGUUCAUCAUUUGCUGGAUAAAUGUGUAUUUCAAUAAUUUCAAAUAAUGUCUAGAACAAAUAUUUUGAAUGAUAAAGCUCAUUAUGUCCUGCAUUACUAGAUGUAUCUAUAAUUUAUUAUUUACAAAUUAUAUUGUAUGAUAAAAAGUAUUGAAUUUUUUUUAAAAAAAAAGUUCGGCUCACUCAGAAAAAAAUGUUAUUAGCUUCGCCACUGCACAAAUCUAGAAUAAUAAUUAUUCCUUAUUAUAUUGACUGCACCAAGCAAUAAACUAAUAAGUUCUCAUCAGCGGUUUUUAAUCUUUUUAAUUCUUUUUACCGCACACCUGAUCAAGAAUUCUAUUUUGUUAACUAAUCAAUUGCAAAUCAUAUAUUAGUGUUGAGCGGUGAACAAAAUUGAAAAAAAAAAUUCUUAAAAAACGUGUGGACUCGGAUAGCCAGACCAGAAAUCUAUGACAAUAAUUAGCUUUGAUGCUGGGAAUCUUUUAGUUUCUGGCCGUAUUGACUCCACCAGUGAAGUUUUUAAAAUAACAAGUUCCCAUUCUCCAUUUUUUUUUUUUUUAAUGUGCUUAUAAUAAUUUUAGAAUAGUGACUUAUUUGUAGAAGAAUUUAUGAUUUCCCAUUAAUAUCAAUAUUGAAGUGGCGUGGGUCAAAUCUCAAUUGCUUGAAAAAUCUAUUUAUUAUUAUUAAUAUUGAAAUGGGGUGGGUAACGGACCAACGGUUCACUCAAUUAAUAUGUGGGGAAUUAAAUAUUACCAUCCAAGGUAGAAUUGUGGAAAAUUAAAGCAAAAUGAGAAAUAUGGAAAGGAAGGCUGAAAGUAAGGCAUUAUGAAAGGCUUUGAGAAGGCUGAAGACCACCAAAGAAGUCAACUGAAAGCUAGCUGGGGCCUGGUAUAUAUGUUAGAUGUGUUUGUUAUAAAUAACAUAGAGCCCUUUCGUUAGCUAUAGUUAUGGAGACAGAGAGAGUUUGUGUUUUUUAGUAGUUAAAGAUAUUGCUAGAAUGGGUGGUUCAAAAUCCAAAAUGGUGACAAUGUUUGUUCUGUUAUUAAUAAUAUUAGAAUGGGGUAGAGUGAGGGAUGUUUGGAGCUUCAGAGAUUUGCUCUUUUGCGGCUUAAGCAUUUCUUCAAUUCUCCUUACAGACUUUAAAACUGGGUAGAUGAGCAAAGAGAUUGUUGUCAGUGGGAAACCGUUGAGUGCAGCAAAGUGAAAUUAAUUUCUCCCUAUUCUUAGUCUUACCAGGAGUAUCGAUCUCGGAGAGUGGUAUCUGAAUGCUUCUCUAUUUACUCCCUUUCAACAACUUGGCAACAAAAUAGCCGGUUGGGUUAAGAACGAAGGUCCUUCAUUUAAUUUAAUUUACUUAAUUUCUCCCUCUUAAUUAAUGUCUAUAACCAUUAGGAGAAAUAAGGGAUUUUAUUAACUCAAAUAUAUCCAAUGGAGCUCAUUCUUUGGUUUUACUUGCAGGUCUAGAAGCAGGUGUCAUCUAACAGCUGCUUUGAUAAUUUCCCACACCUUCAUCUUUGAUGGAAAUAUGAAAUAAAAACAAAUUGGUGAAAAUCGUAUUGGUACCCGAGGCUCUGUAAUCUAUUUCAAAAACUACACCAUCAAAACGACUGCAUAAGAAUCUAACUUCUCCUCUUGAUUUUUUAUGGGCAUGUUGUGUAGUACAUGCAGACAAAAAUCAUAUUUUAGUUUACUCUUACUCAAUGCUUGGAUUAAAGUUUUUUUUUGGGGGGGGGGGGGGGGAUUGAAGCAGACUAAAAUGACACAAAAAAUAGUUGAACGAGUGCGGGUUUUGUCUUCAUUUUAGGAGAUCUUUAUAAAUUUUAGGAUUUUUUUUCUCGAGAAAAUUUAUGCCAACUCAUUCUUUGCUUCUUUUAUGAAGGGACAGAUGCAACUGAAAGUAUAUUCUUGAAUUCUAUAAGAGACAGCAGUUUAGAUUCUCGAGCCUUCAAAAAAAUAUCAAAUUCUAGAUUGCUGAAAUUUUAUAUAUCCAAGUAUGAUGGUGCUCCAAUUAUAAACUCCAGGGAGCAACUUCACCGCGGAUUAGAAUGUCUUCCUGCAGAAUUGAGAAAUCUCCAUUGGCAUAAAUAUUUUUUUGAAAAUACUGUCAUUAGAUAUUUUUAUUAUUCAUACUUCAUUGCACAAGGCACCACCUGGCUUCUAUUUCCAGCCCUAAUAAUGAUCCGCUGCUGGAAAAGAAUUUGUGCAGCAUGUACGCUCCUUGACCACAACAGCAAAGUUUAUUGAUGUUAUUUCAUAUUCUGCUGUGACUCAAAUAAAAAUUUACUAUGCCCUUUCGGCAUGGCUUGCCUUUCAGCAAAAAAAGAAAAAAAAAAUCUUUCAAAUUGUGGAAGCAUGCUUACAUUAAUCAGCUCAGUAUGUUAUGUUUCAUGGGAUGCAAAAUUCGUUUUGUUUCUCAUGGAAGAAUUGACUUGUCUGGAUGUAUUAAUCUCAUAGAUUUUCCACAGAUUCGUGGGAAUAUAACAAAGCUAGACUUAAGUGAGAUCCCAAUAGAAGAAGUUCCGUCAUCAAUAAAAUGCCUAGCUGAUCUUAAAACGUUGCGUUUGAGUAAGUGCACGAGGCUGAAGAGGCUUUCCAUCAAGCAUUUGUAAAUUGAAAUCUCUUCUUGAGCUUUAUCUCUAUAACUGCUCAAACCUUGAAAGUUUUCCAGAAAUCAUGGAGAAAAUGGAACGUUUAAAGAUAUAAAUUUAGCAAGGACGGCCAAUUACAGAGCUGCAAUCUUGAUAGCCUUCGGGAUAACAUUAGCAAUUUAAAAUCUUUGAGGUACAUCUCUACUAAUGGAUCAGCCAUUAGUCCUCUGUCGCAGGUUCGGUUGUACUUAAAUAUCUAUCAUUUUCUCAAUGCAGAGGUUUGGUAUCAUUGCCUCCAAUAUUAUUGUCAGGUUAGGUUUAGGUUUAUAGAAUUUGUUACAGCUAAAUUUAAGAGAGACUGCUAUAAUGGAAAUUCCCCAAAAUAUUGUUCGUCAAUCCUCAUUGAAAAUUUUAAAUCUAAAGGCUUGUUUGUUAACUACUUGAAGUAUGUAGUUAAUGCUUUUUUUUUUUUUUUUGUAAUUUAUGUUUGAUUUGAGAUAUUUACAUUUGAAUAAAAAAAUUAUACUUUUGUUACAUUUAUCUAAAAAAAAAAAAAGGUUGAAUGAGAAGUAAAUAAUUCCCUUUUUCGUUUUAACUUACAAAAACAUAAAUGUUAACUAUGUUUAAGAAAUUUUUUAUUUAUAAAAAGAAACCCAAUACUACUUAUAUUUGUAUAUCAAAAAAUGAAAAACAAACAUGUUAUUCAUACGUUCGCAUACAAACUCACUCAGACCUCAGCUAAAUACAAAUCCAUUUAGAUUUCAAAAAAAUAAAUAAAUACUUCCUAAGCGGGAAUAACUUUGAGAGUUGACUUGCAAGGCUAGAAUAUCUUGACUUGAACGGUUGCAACGAUUUCUCAUCAUUGAGAGUUUAUCAUUGUGCUUCAUCAUCAUUAUUAAUAAAAAGGUAAGCAAUUAAGAGUCAAAUUAAACCAGAAAAUCACUCAUCCACGCUUUUGGGACAUCAUUCUGCUCAUUAUUUUUAUUCCGUAUCUUCAUUGUUUUAUUUGGUAAUUAUUACCAUUAGGAAAUAAAGGGAUUAGUUGAUUAUUAUGAACUAACUAAAUGGAGCUCACCCUUAAAUGUCGGCUUGUAUCAGGGAGGUGCCUUAGGGUUAAUAAAUCAACUAAUCCCAUAAUUUGUUGAUGUAGGUGAUGGUUGUUAAAGCCAACAAAAAUAAAUACAUACUCUAAAUAAAUUGUGUAUAGUGAUUGAGCAGGGUCGUGUCCACAGAUAUCAGUAAUUAUUUAAAUCCUUUUAAAAUGUAAAACAUAAAAUGAGGGUUUUGUUGACAAUAAUAAAAAUUAAAUUAAAAUAACAAGAAUGCAAAUUAAAGUUGUAAUUCAAAUUUGGAGAAAGCUCUAGUUGAAGGAAUUAAUUGAGCUUGAUUCGACUACUGAUCAUUGAUUCAAAUAUAAAUUAUUACUACUUAUGAAUAGACCGGUUAUAGCUACUGAGACCUUCUAAUAGCCAAUCUCUCUUUAACUAGUCGAUAACCAAGGUACGACCAUUGAUUAUUUCCCUAAUCAAUAGACAACCCUAGAUACGAUCAUAGGAUUUAAUCAAUUGACAGCCUGAAAAUCUAGAGAGACCCAAAUCCUAAUCAACAAACACAUACGAUGGUUCAUUUAAAUUAGAUUGUUUAUUCUCAUAACACAACUCUCUGCUAUGUUAUUUGUCACAAACAUUAAAAUCUUCAUACGAUGAAUCCUUUAAUUGACAAUAGAUUAAGUUGAUAAUUAAAUAGUGGCCAAUUACCUAAUUAACAAACAUAAUCAUGAAAAUAAUUCAGAGAAUAAACAAAUACCCAAAAAGUAAUAAAACAAUUAAAGCAUAAGAAAGAUCUCGCAGUAGUGAUGAAUCAAAGCUUCAUUAACCUUCAACCAGAAAAAUAGGUUUAUUUCUUCAUAGAGAGAAGAGAAAAGUUUAGAUCUAGGGUUUCUUUCUUUUUCUCCAAUCCCCCCUUUUUCACUAUAGAUUCCUCCCUUAAAUACUCUCUCUCUCUUCUCCUCUAGAGUUCUAUUUAAAAUAAAAUACUAAUAUAUGAAAUAUUAAAUUCGUAAUUACAAAAAUAGCCAAAAAUACAAAACACGUUAAACUAAAAACUGCAGGUCCGCAGUUGACAGCACGUGCCCACGCCUUAUCAAUAAAGUUCUUCUAACGCUCUAAAUUUCUCCAAGAGAACAAUCAUCUUUAAACAUCAUCUUAUAGCUCAAUUUUAUCACAAAUCAAUAGAAUUGCACCUACAAAAGUAAAACACAAGUAAAUCAUUAUUAUUAAGUGCAAAACAUCGAUAUUAAGGGAAGUAAACAAUGCAAAACUAGUGCAUAAAUUUCACUCUAACAAUAGGGUAGCAAAUUAUUGCCAUAGAUCAGCACACAGCUCGAAAACAUAUUUGAUCCACACAGUGAAGAUGAUUCAAUAUUAAGCAUGUCAUAUAAUCUGGAGUUGGAUAUUGGAUCAAUUUGAUGAUAAUGAGUUUCUUUCAAUCUCAAUAUGUAUCUUCUUCGCAACAUGACUAGCCAUUGCAAACUCAAACUCUGACAAUGAUUUCUCAAUCGCUUUCUAAGACGAUGAGCAUGUAUGUAUAUAUAUGUGUGUGCACGGGCGCGUGUGUGUUUGUGUAUGUAUAUAGAGAGAGAGAGAUAUCACACAUGUGUGCUUUCCUUUUGUCAAUAAGAUAUGUAGAGAGCUUAAUAAUCAUAGAUUAGCUUAUAUCCUUCAAACCAUGUGUUAUGAAGUAAUUUCACAAACACUUGUUGAACGUUAUUGAAUCAGUAGUUCACAGUUCAAUACAAUGUAGGUUUCCUAUUUGAAGUAAAUGAUUAUGGUGUGUGCAUUUUUCAUAAAGCUAACUACUGAAUUUACCAUUGAAACUUGCAAAAUGUAACAAAGAGAUGCAGAUAGCAGCCACGAAACACUAAGAUUGAAAAUCAGGACUAUUGAAUUCUAUUACAAGCCCUUAAAAUAGACAACAAUCAUCCUCAAAUGUAUGUACUGAAAGUAAGAAAUAUUAAUCGUAAAGUUAUGCAUUAACAAAACUAUUGAAUACUUAUCUUUAGCUAUAUAUUUUUAAUUGUAGCUCCCUACUUUGUUCUAAGAACUAGGCAAAAGUAGCAUAUCUUCAAUCCAAUCAGCAUAUAUACCGCUCAUCUUCUCCAGUUCUUUCCACUUUGAUUUGCAUUUCAUACCCUGCACUUGCUGCUUAGAAAUAGUCAUAGUUUGCACAUUGACAGUAGAAAAAGUACUUGAAACAAUCAUUGGCAUAGCAUGGGAUUCCAUUGAGUCGCGGUCUCCAAGCUUUCAUGGUUCUGUAAAGAAAAUGACAAAAACAUCAUGCUAUUGGCAUUCUACUUUUAGCAAUUUUCCACAAGCUGAGCUAUUUCAUAUCUCUCUAUAAAUUAUGCUGGUUCAACCUUCAGAUAAGUUUGUGAUAAAGGCAUCUAUGAUUACAAUGGGAAAAUUACAUGAACUUAUGUUAUCAAUCAUUGUUUUGCCUUCUCGUGAUAGAAUUCUGUGCAACAUAAAACAUGACAUAUUUGUUGCUUACCAUGCCAUGUCGUGAACCUAGAAGCAAUGCAAAUUGCAAGGAACAUAUUAAGCUAUCUACUGUAUAUAACAAAUUCUUAUUAGCCCACAAUCUUGCGCCCCAACAUUGAUCAAGUAACACUAUUAUUUCAUUUCCAAAAUGGCAUAUAUAAUCUAAUGUUGAACAAACCAAAUUGGGAAUCAUCAUUCCUUACAUUGAGCUGACAUUCGUACCUGCUAGUCCAUGAGCAAAGUUGCUUAUAUUUCCACACAGGCAGUUCCCCUUAUCUCUCGGUUCCGACAGAGCUUUGUUUUCCCAUCACCAGCUUUGGAUUCAUUCGAUCACUGAUGCUCCGAGUUAGCAAGCCCCUUGUUGUGUUCCCAUUUAACAGACCCACUUCUGUUAUCCACAGAAGAUCCACCACUCAAAAUGCUUAUCACCGAACUAUUCCUAAACUGAGUAGAAACUUCCGCACAUCUCUCGGCAUUUACAUGAAGAAAUCGACACCCACCCUCAUAUUUGUAAGUUUUCUGAUAAUAGAACGGUCUACAAAGCUGCAUUUCGUUAGGCAAUCUAGUCUCUCCAUUCCUAGCUCAGUGACAUUGAUUCCCGUAUUUGUAAUUGCCUAAUUGGGGUUUUGGCAAUAGCCUGGUCUUAAAAUUACCACCCAUUACUUUGUUCAAUGCCACUGGCAUCCUCUGAUUAGGAACAUUUUCACAAUUUUUAGCCCUGUUAGUCGAAUCACAUUCAAGGGGAUAGUGAGACAGUAUUUCACUAAAAGAUUCAAUUUGACUACACAUAUAAGAAUUUGAAAUCACUUUUUCUUGGAAUAUUUAAUGACCCACCCAGGGUGAAAGUUUUUGAAUGGAAAUUAUUUAAUUUGAUUUGUUUUCCAACAAAUUCAAGAAACCCCAGAUAGUAACAUAAAAAAAAAAUCAACCAAUAAUACGCAAUGGGUUUCUUUCUUUUUGCUUUUGGAGGGCCAUGGAGAUCUGGAGUGGGCUGUAAGUAAUAGCCUUUAUCACUGGAGUGACAAAUUUGCAGAAGAUGAUACAUGGGGAAGGAUUGGACGAGCAUAAAAAUGGUUUUACACUCCUUGGAUUAGCGCCUCAUUAUAAAAAUGGUUUUAUAAUCCCUGUUAUGCUUAAGGCUUCACUUAGUAUAGCAUAGAGCUUUUCUAGUGUAGCAUUUUACAAGUAGAAUUUUUUUAAAUUAUUAUUUAUUUGGUUGUUUUUUUCAGGAGAGCUUUUAAAGGUCCAAAAUCUUUGAUAGUCAGGUUUUUUUUUUUUUGGUAAGUAAAACCUUUAACAAAAAUUUAUUAUUCACUUGAUCGUUUACAAGAGUUUUAAUUAGAGGUUAUAUAAAGUUCUUUAAUUUUUUUUAUCAGUGAUCUUGUUAUAAGUACAAUUUUUAUUUUUUAACAAAAAUUAAUUUAAUAAUAUUAAGAAUCUCAAUAUUUGAGUUCUAAUAUCAUAUGUCACUUAUUUAUUGGAUGAAAAAUUUCAUAACUUAUAAAAUUAUUUAACUAACAUCCAAUAAGCUAAUGUCACUAUAGUGAAGACUCAAGUUGAAAUUUAGAUGUUGGGUUGAGUAAUAUUGCUCUUAUUUAGUUGUUUAUGAGAACUUUCUUGUACAAAUUUAUUUUUAUACAAAUUGGUAUAGUCUACAUUCAUUAAUUAAAUAAAAAUAUAAAAUAAUAAAAAUAAAUCAUGUGCGCUAAAAGUUAUUUAAUCUAUUUAAUUGAAUUAUCCUGCGUUUGUUUGCACUAAAUAAAUUUAUAUACAAAUUAAUUCUACGUUUAGAUGUGCAACUAAACUUUUAGUCUUUUAUUCUUCGUAAAAUUCAAAUUCCAGUGGCUCAUCAAAUAAAAUUAAAACUAUUGGUUAAUCAAAUAAAAUUAUUUGAAACCAUUGCGUAUGAUAGCUGGAGCUCUUGAAAGUUGAAACCAUCGAAGCCAUGAAAUUUACCAGCGAAAAGAGUUUUAAAUGUCUAUUUUAUAAAUUUUUUAUUUACCAUUUUACCAUCCAUAGUAAAAGUGUCGCACGACGUUGAACAGUUCAACAUAUCAGUCAGUCCUCAUUCAGUCAUUUGGCUUGGACUCUGUGUAUGGUUAAGGCGUUACCAUUAUCAUCUUCUCCACUCGUACUGACACCAAACCUUAACCGUUCAGAUCCCCUUUCUCGACUGUCAUACCCUACGCCCCGUCUCCGUGUCUCCGAUAAACAGUGCUCAAUUAAGGCCAUCAGAUUAUCCCGGACCCACAUUGAUCCAACGGCUCACAAUGACCGAC
rnacentral:lncRNA from 1 species